UAAAGGCAAGGUUUUUAACAUCUUUCUUUAAUACAUCCUUUGCUGACUUACGAUCAAUUCUUACCAAAAAUUUUUGAUUUAAUAAAUCAGACUGAAAUUUAUUUAUGCAUAUAACAAUACUUAAAAUUUCUUUUUUAAUAGUAGAAUAAUUUAUUUGAAACGAAUUCCAGUGUCCUGAAGUAAACUGGAUUAUCCUCUCUUUAUUACUUAUUAUUUGUUUUAAGACUCCUCUAUAUCCUAUGUCUGAAGCAUCAAUUUUUAAAAUUUUAAAAGCUUCUUGUAACGACCCGAAAUAGGACCGCUAUCGGCGCUAGGAUCCAGAUCGACUUAAGGUCGCUGGAACCCGUAGCAAGCCUAACAUACAACCUGCCAUACCUGAUAAAUCCCAUACAUGAUCAUACAUUUACAUAAAAAUUUUAAACUUUUCAUCUACCAAGCUUGACCUGUACAUGCACCAUAACUAUAAACAUAAAACCCCACACUAGAGCCCUCAUCAAAUACUCUAAUGGGGCAACAUAUCAAACAUCAAGCUUGGUUUAACAUUUCUUAACAUUAAAACAUUUCAUAACGAUCAUGUACAAAAGGGGAUUAACAUUACAUUAGGGCCAAGCACAAUGCUAAACCUCAUAACAUUGUUGUACAAUACUUUACAUCACAAUAUCUUUCAUGUCCACAACUAACUAUUAUAUACACUAUGCCUUUACUCUUGCUGACCUCUCGAUCUAUCCUGAACCUACAAGCCUAGGGGUUAAGGGAAAGGGAUGAGCUUCUAGAGUUCAGUGAGCAGAAUAGUAAAAUAAUAUGUUAAAACAUAUGUUUUCAUGGAAUGCAUCACAUCACAGACAAUUCACAUCAAGGAUUGACUUGUCACCAAUAGCCCUCUACAUAAUCCAACAGUGCCAGAACAUAGAAUGGGUCUCUAGUCUUUUCCUUAACAUAACAUAUCAUAACAUUCCAAUGUGUCAGGACGUAGAAUGGGUCUUCUGGUCUUUCUCUUACAUCUUGCCAGGGCGUAGAAUGGGCCUCUGGACUUCCAUACCAUAUCGUCAUCAUCAUGCCAUAUCAAGGGCUAAUGGGUCAUCCAAUAUCCAUCCACAACAACAUCAUAUUAUGCAAUGCAACAUAUUCGUGAAUUCUAAUGCAAGCAACCUAAUAUAUCUCAUGGCAUUCGUGAUGCAUGAAUAUGCUCAAAAUUUAAUUACUUUGAAACAUAAAUAUCCAUUCUACUCACCUCAGGUUGACUCUGAAAAGACUCUGAAGCAUACAUAACCUACACAGGUGGACUCAAAUGAGGGACCAAACAUACACUAACAUGACUCUAAACAUCUCCCCAAAAACCCUCCAAAACAUCAUAAAACAUUCAUAGAAAACAUGCAAAGGAAGGCUGAACAGGGCACUUUCGGUGGCAGGUUCGGCGGCCGAAAGUCCCUCCAGAGCCGAAAGUCAGGCACUUUCGGGGGCAAGGUUCGGCGGCCGAAAGUCUGUCCAGAGCCGAAAGUCACCAACCUUCGGCGGCCGAAACUCCCCUCCAAAGCUGAAAGUCUAAACUUUCAGGGGCGAGUUUAGGCGGCCAAACUAUCUCCACAGGCAGGUUCGGCGACCGAACAUGGCUUCAGCAGCCGAACCUGGGUCCUCCAGAAGGGCAGAACCCAAGCCACAAACAUGCAUCCAGCCAUCCAAAACCUCUAAUGUAACGACCCGAAAAUCGGACCGCUACCGGCGCUAGGAUCCAGAUCGGCUUAAGGCCGCCGGGACCCGUAGCAAGCCUGACAUGCAACCUGUAAACCUGUUUAAUCCCAUACAUAAUCAACAAUUAUACAUAAAAAUUUAAAACUUUUCUUUCAUACAUUCUAUCACACACCAAACUCAACCUGUGCAUGCACUGAACAUAUACAUAAUCAUAACUUGACCCCUCUGUGGGAUCUCAUCAAUGCCCCCAAAGGGUGGCAUAACAAGUGUUGAGUUGGCUAAACAUGGACAUCAAUAACAUUAAGAUCAUGUUUCAAAAAGGGAUUACAUUAUACUAUGGUCAAGCACACUUCUAACCUCAAUAUCCUUACGUUACGUAUCUAUACAUCAUUAUACAAUCUGUCAUGUCCACAUUCUAACUAUUACAUACAUAUGACUUCAUUACUCUUCUUGACUUCUCUGUCUAACUCGUACCUGCAAACCUGGGGAAUUUGGGAGAGGGGUGAGCUAUUAGAGCCCAGUGAGCAGAAUAGUAAAGCAUUUAAAACACAUGCUAUCAUGGAAUGCAUCACAUCACAACUAAUCAUAUCAAGGAUGAACUUGUCACCAUUUAGCCCUCUACAUAUUCCAAUCAUGCCAGGGGCGUAGUGCAAGCCACACCUGGUCUUUCUCUUAUACAUAACAUAACAUAACAUACAUAUUCCAUGGUGCCGGGGGCGUAGUGCAGGCCACUUCCGGUCUUUCUCUUACAUAGUGCCAGGGGCGUAGUGCAGGCCACACCUGGACUUCCAUAUCAUAUCAACAUGUCAUAACAUAUGAGGGCUAAUGGAUCAUUCAACAUUCAUCCACAUCAACAACAUAUUAUGCAAUGCAACAUAUUCGUGAUUUCUAAUGCAAACAACCUAAAAUAUCACAUGGCAUCCGUGAUGCAUGAACAUGCUCAAAACUGAUUUAUUUAUUUAAAAGCAUAAGAGUUAUUCCACUCACCUCAGGCUAGCUCUGACACUGACUGAAGCAGCUGACUCACUGCUGAGGUCCUCGGUUCCUCGGGUCCGAACCUACACAGGUGGACUUAAAUGAGGGACCAACAUUCUAUAACAUAACUCUAAAAACAUCCCCCAAAAACCCCCUAAAACAUCUCAAAACAUCCAUGCAAGACCAUGCAAAGGAAGGCUGGACAGGGUACUUUCGGCGGCAGGUUCGGCGGCCGAAAGUCCCUCCAGAGCCGAAACCCAGGCAGGUUCGGCGGCACCUUCGGCGGCCGAAAGUCCCAGACAGAGACGAAAGUCUCUUUUCGGGGGCAACUUCGGCAGCCGAAAGGCCUGCCUCCCAAGCCAUGUUCGGCGGCCGAAAGUCCUUCGGCUGCCGAACCUGGUUCGGCUGCCGAACCUGGUUUCUGCCAAAGGGCAGAAACUUGGCUCCCUUGCACAAAAACUUCUCCUUUCCAUUCCAACAUGCAUAUAACUCAUCCAAACCAUGCAAAUAUACAUACAUUGGCUCCUAGGGGCCUCAAACUACCUUAAACCCCAACUACAACACAUCACACACACAUUACAAGCCACAUUGUUCAUGAACAUACAUUUAUACCCAUAAACAUAACUAUAACCUAAACAUGCAUUCUACCCCCAUGAACUUCAUAAAACUUACUUAAAACAUAAUAUAAGCUAGAGAUCGACUCUUACCUCUUGGAGAUCGAGAGUAGAGGCGACCAAACUUGGAGUUGGGAGAGAUUUGAGUUCUUGAACCUCAAAGCUCCAAAACUUUGCUCAAAGGCUCAAAUCUUCAAAACAAAGUUAAAACAAAUGAAAAACUUGAAAGAUCUAGAGGAAAAACAUCAAAGAUCGGUGAGGGGCGGCGGAGAGCUCACCUUGGCCUAAAAUGGGGAAAAGCUCGCCCGUUUUCGGCUAAGGGACCCUUUUAUAGUGGCUGUCCAGGCCACGUUCGGGGGCCGAAUGUGCCUCCGCAUGCAUGCCAUGUUCGGCGGCCGAACUUGAGGUUCGGCGGCCGAACCUGGACUUCCCUCACUUAUGCCUUCGGGGGCCUAAGGCUCACCUGAAACGCAUGCAUGUUCGGCGGCCGAACUUUGAGUUUCGGCGGCCGAACUUUGAGUUUCGGCGGCCGAACCUGAGCUUUCCUCCAAGGUUGUUCUUAUGCAAAAACUCAUUCUCUUUUUACUUAAAAUCAUCAAAAGCAUUAAAACAUUUCAUAAAAACAUGGUUUUACCCCUUCUAGAGGUCUCCGACAUCCGAGAUUCCACCGGACGGUAGGAAUUCCGAUACCGGAGUCUAGCCGGGUAUUACAUCUAAACUCAAACCAAACCACUCAAAAUCAUGCAUAAACACAUCCUCAAGUAUUUAGGGGCUUAAAACUGCCCUAUACCCCAACAACAUCAACAUUUAACAUACAAUAACAUACAUUUCAUCAUUUAACUCACAUAAACCCUAACAUUUUACAACUACUCUAAACAUGCAUCCAACACCCUUCAAACCCCUCAAAACUCACUAAAAACAUGAAAGAAGAGUAGGAUCUACUCUUACCUCUUGAAACUCGAGAGGAGAGGCGAUCCAAACUUGAAGAUGGGGAAAAAUCGAGCUUCGGGUCUCCAAGCUUCAAAAACUUGAUCUUUAGCUCAAAAUCUUCAAAACCAAGUUAAGACUUGUUAAAACUUGAAGAGAUUGAAGGAAAAAACUCAAAAUCAACCAAAGGAGGGCGAAAUCUCACAUUUGCCCGAAAAUAGAGAGAGAAGACUAGCCCAUUUUCGGACAAGAGGCCUUUUAUAGGUGGCUGGCCAGACCACCUUCGGAGGCCAAAAGAGCUUCCGCAAGUCACCAACGUUCGGCGGCCGAACCUGGCUUUUCCAACCUUGGUCUUUUCUUUCAAAACUCAAUUUCUUUCUUUAUUCAAAGCAUAAAAUAUGAUUUUACCCUUCUAGAGGGUUCCGACAUCCGAGAUUCCGCCGGAAAGCAGGAAUUCCGAUGCCGGGGUCUAGCCGAGUAUUACACUUCUGGAUUAGGAAGAUAUAAACAUGGGAUUUCUUUUACUAAUGAUUUUAUAUGUUUUAUAAUACUAGUAUGUUCAUCACUCCAAGGACUUGCAUUCUUUUUUAACCUAUCAUGAAGCGAUUUUAUCAUUCUAUUUAAAUUUGGGUAGAAAUCAAUAACAUAUUUAAACAUCCUAGAAAUCUCUGUAACUGGAUUUUAUUAGUUAUUUCGUCUGAAAAUUUAUCUCCAAAAACCAUUAUCCUUUCUAUGGGCUGAAUAAUUCCUUGCUCUAUAUAAUGACCUAAAAAUCUAACUUUAGUUUGAAAUAAAUUCAUUUUAGUUUUACUUAACGCUAGACCAUUCUUUUUUAUGAUCAUACAAAAAGUUUUUAAAUGUUUAAAAUGUUCUUCAAUAUUUUGACUAAAAACUAAAAUAUCAUCUAUAUAAACAAUACAAAAUUUUGAAUAAGGAUUAAAAAUAUCGUUCAUAAUUCUUUGAAAUUCUGAUGGAGCAUUCUUUAAUUUAAAAGGCAUUACGUUCUAUUCAUACUGCCCAAAGGGAACUGUAAAUGUUAUUUUAUAUCUAUCUUUAGGAUGAAUUUGAAUCUACUAGUAUCCUGACUUCAUAUCAAAUUUACUAAAAAUAUUUGCAUUAAAUAACCUAUUUAAAAGACCUUAUUUAUUAGGGAUAGGAUACCUAAUCCAUUUAAUGCUAUAUUUAAUGGUUUAUAAUUUAUAACUAACCUAAGUGUCUCUCUUUCUAUUUCUGCAUUUUUAUUAAAAUAAAAGGCUGCACAGGACCAAGGCUCCUAGAUUUACUUAUUAACUUCUUAUCUUCUAAUUCUUUUAUUUCUUUUUUACAAUGUUCAAUUAAUUCCGAAUUCAUCUGAAUUGGUCUUGCCUUAGUAGAAAUUGUUUUCUCAUCAAAAUUUUCUUCAUAAGGUAGGUCUACUAUAUGCUGUUUCCUACUCCAAAAAGUAUUUGGAUGCUCAUCACAUAAUUCUUUUUCCAUAUAGUCUUUUAAUUUUUCUAUUCUAUUUUUUAUAAUUUCACUUCCUAAUUGAUUUUUAAUCCUAGUUAGAUGUACAUUAUUUUUUAAAUUUUUUAAAUCCUCUAUUCUAUAUUUUAUUAUUGAAUUUAUUUCCACUGUCCCAAUGGAAUAUGCUUUUAUUAGAUUCAAAUUUUUUGUUUUAGGCUUUUCUGUAAAAUCCAUCUUAAUCUUUUUAUUUUUCAUUUUAAUUUCUAUACAAUUAUCUUUUACUGUGUAAGGUGUUAUUAGAUUUAUAAACGGGGUUCCUAAUAUUACCAUGUGAUUUAUCUGCUGAGAUAAUAAAAAUACAGUCCUUAUUUCUAAAUCCCGAUUUACUAUUAAUGCCUCUGUUUUUCCUAGAAUAUUUAGAUUAGUCUGAUUUGCCGUUUUUAAUUUUUGUUUAGUUUCUUGCCAAAAUCUCUUAGAUACCAAACUUGACUUUAUACAAUUUAAAUUUGCUCAUGUAUCAAACAAUGCUAUAGUAUCUAUCUUAAAGUCUUCUGAUAACUUAAUUGUUAAUUUUACUAAAUAUUUUCUAGAAGUUAUUUCUUGUAAUAAUAGUAUAAAAUUAUUAUCUACUUCUUCACUUUCUAAUUGACUUAUUUUACUAUGUCCAUUUCCUUCCUCUUCUGCUUCUUCGGAUGAGGAGGAUGAUUCAGAAAUUGAUUGUUCUUCUAAAAAUUUUAUCCUUUUUGAAUCCUUCCUGAUGCUUUUCAGUCUUUAUUAUUCUAAUUUCUUUUUGUAAAUCCUCUAUAGAUACUGUUUCUUUAGGUUUUUUAUUUUUACUUAAUAUUUUAGUUAAAUCAUAAGUUUGUUUUUCUACUUUAGGAACAAUAUUUUUAACUUCUUCUGUUUCAUCAAAACUUUUGAUUAAUUUUUUAAGAAAUUUUUCUUUAGUAGUACUAUUCUCUAUAUUAUUUAUUAAUUCUAAUAAUGAACUUUGUUCUUUUGUCAAAACAUUUACUGAUUUUUCUGACGAGCUAGUUCCUAAUUCAUCUAUCUGGUUUCCACUUUCUAUGGGUUCUGAUUCUGAACUUUUUGAAUUAUAUAUAAUUCCUGAAUUUUAUUUACUAUUUCUUCAUCUAAAUCUAACUCAUUUAGUUUUUUAUUAAAUUUACAAAACUUAGAUGUAUGACCUUUCUUUCCACAAUUAUAACAUGUUAAAUCUUUAAAUGAUUUUUUAAUCUGGGUCUUAUUUACUGGAAUUUUCUUUCUAUAUUUUUUAUAAGGUUUAUAAUUUUUCUUUUUAUAGUAUUCUUCUUUACUAGGUUUUGUUGUAUAUUUCUUCUUAUAAUACUGAUCCUUCUUGUAAUAUUUCUUUGGUUUAGGUUUAGAACAUUGACCAUUACAAUUUUUAUCCUGACCUAUGCCAUAAUCAAACUAUUUACAAAAAAAUCAUAAUAAUUCCUGUUUAGUUUUAUGCAUUUCAUACUUUAAAGUUCUUUGUAAUUUUAAAUCAUGACAAAUCUGUAAACCUUCUUUUUGGAUUAUACUUACUAUCUGUCCGUAUGUUAAUUUACUAUAAGGUAUUGGGUUUCCAUAAUAAUGUUUGAUAUUAUUCCUGACUUUUUCUCCUAAGAAAUAAGGAAGUCCUGCUAGAAAUUUUUCUUUCCAAAAAUCUUGGUUUGAAUCCUCUCUUAACAUUAAUCUAGUUUAAAAUGUGGUUUUAUAGUACUGAAAAUCACUUAAUUUUUUACAUUUUAAAUUACUCAAUAGUUCAGCAUUUUUAUCUUUUAAGUGCGAUGGGUCUCCUAUAAAAUGUAAUGAAAUUGUUAGAAUUAAUGUUGAUACUGCAUCCUGAAUAGUUUCUCCUAAUUCGUUAUAUAUAGGUUCACCUUCACUAUUUACUUAAAAUUUCUAAUUGCUGCAUAUCUGUUAGAUGGUAAUCCCACCGUCCUUUUAAUUGUCCUGUAAAACAUGCUAUAAGUAUUUCAGCUAUUGCCCUAUCUGAAGCAAAAGACUGGGUUUUAUAUGCAUUAGCUGCCAUAGUCAUCUGCUGUAAUAAACUUAAAAUAUUAUACUCAGACAAUCCAUCUAUAUUCCAUUCAUAGACUGUCAAAGCAUUAUACUUAAAACUGAGAAGUAUUAUUUGGUUUAUCUAAUAAUCCUAGAUCUGGUGCUUUGCUUACUAUUUCUCUAUGUGAUAUGGGAUUUAUUUCAAGUUGUUUUAUAUCAUCCGUCUUUGGCUGACUUUGCUCAGUUUCAAAUUCUAACUCUUCUUCUAUUACAUUUAUAUUUCUAGACUGAGGUGUUUCUGGAGCUACAUUCUUUGUAGACUCUGAAGACUCUAUUUUACUUCACUGAUCUCUUAAACUCUGUAAAAAUUCAUUUUUAUUAUUUUUUAAUUCCUUUUGACUUGAGCUAGAUAUUUAAUAAAGUUUAAAAAUAUGCAGUUUUAUUUCCUUUUUCUCUUCUAUUUAUACCUUUUUUUCUUUUAAAAUUUUUUCUAUCUUUUUUAACGGAGUACCUAUACAUAUUAAACUAGUAUUACUAAAAUUAUUCUGCUCUAUGACCUUCUUAUAUGUAUCAUUUUCUUUAGCUAUCUUAUAUGGUGCACAAAUUAUUUCAUUUUCUUCAUGCAUUAUUUUACUAAUCGUCUUAGGUGGAAAAUCACUCUGAAUUAUUUUAUCAUUUACAAUUCAUUUUGGCCUUUUAUCUCUUACCGUUAUUGGAUUUAUACUUUUUGUCUUUUUUAAUUCAAACCACUCAAAAAAUUUUAUUUUUCGUAUUUUACUAACAUAUUCAAGAUAUUCUUCUUUUAAUUUUUCAAAAUUAUUUUCUUUAACAAUCUUAUUUAAUUUUCUUAAAUUUUUUGUCUUAGUUAUUUCUUUUAAAAAUUUCUUUUCAAUCUUCUCUUUACUAAGAACAUUUAAUUCCCUAUUUAUAUUAUUUAUAUUUUCUGUUAUAGCAGAUGCUGAUGGUGAUGAUGGUGAAGAAGAUGCUAUUUCAGCCUGCUGAUUUAAAUAAUUCUCUACUGGAUUAUAUAUUGCCUAGGGAACUGAAGAACUAUAAUCUACUCUUUUCAUUUUAAGGUGUCUAUCUGGAAUAUCUGAUAUAGAAAAUUUGGGUUUUACUAUAGUCUGGAUUACAUGUUUAGGUUCAUCUCCUUUAUAUGUAGCAUAUAUUACUAAAGGUAGGUUUGAUGCUAUAUCUUCUGUUACUACUGAAGAUGAUGACCAUGUAUAUCUAUUGCUUAUGCUUCUAUUAAACUUUAACGAUACUUUACCAUCUUCAAACUGCUCUAUUUUACUUAAACUUGUAUUUAGUUUUACUUUUUCUUGUUCUGGAGGAAGUACUAUACCUUCUAAUAUCUAUUCUUCUGGUAAGGUUAUAUAUUUCCACUGAAUUGUUUUAGAUAUUACAGAAUUUGUUUUAGUCAAAUCUGUUUGUAAAAAUCUUGUUUUUUCCAAUUUAGGUUGUAAUUUAUAUUUAGUUCCAAAGGCCGAAUUCAUAGCUUUAUAAUGAAUUUUAUAUAUUAAUGCUAUCGGAAUAUAUCCUGACUUUAUUUUAUAAUUAUGAGUUUUAAUUUCUAAGACUAUACUUUCUAAAAUAUUUAAAUCAUUUAAUGAUAUUGUCAUAUCUGGAUAUACCUCAAAAGAUAUCGGUCCUUCACUUAAACUGGUUUCUAUAGAUUCUAAUAAAAAAUCCUGAAAAUUUAAAAAUCUUGCAUCUCUAACUACUACUAAUAUACUAGUGUUUAAUCCUUCCCUAGUUAAAGGUUUUAUACCUAUUUGAAUUAAUCCUAUAUGAAUAUAUUUGUAUUUUUUACUUCGAUGGUGAUUUAAUGUCUUUGCUAAUAAAAUAGUUAUUUUCUCAAAAGGUUCACUUAACUGAAAAUCUCUUUUCUUAGUUUUUAUCAUAUAAUCUGUUUUAAAAAUAUUUAACUUUGGAAUUUUAUAAAUAUGUUUCUUAUCUACCUUAGGAAUUUCUCACUCAUCUAUGACUUUUACAAAGUCUUCCAAUAUCAACUCAUUUUUAUUUAUCACUCUUUUAAUUUCUGAAUACUCUGAAUCAUCUGAUUUUACUGUACUUGCCGAUUUACACAAAAAAGGAUUCAUUUCUUAAUUAUGAAUUAUGUCGCGGCCACUGUCUAUUCUACCCUAAAAGACGCCUACCAAUGACUAAAAACGGGUUGAGUCGAUAUACUCAAAACUCAUUCACAAUUAUUAAAAUGGAUUCUUAAUUGUAUACCCAAUAGCUCUGAUACCAACAAAUAACAAGGACCUUUUGGCAAAUACAGACAUUCAGAGAAUUAAUAUAUAUAUAUUUUAAAAUUAUAUAAAUUAUAUUUAUAAUUAAAAAUUAAUAUAAUAUUUUAAUAUUAUAAAAGUUAAAUCAUAACCUUUUUAGUCAAUAAAUUUUGAAAAUCCUUUUUGGUAAUUAAGUAAUCUGAAGUUCCCUUGCUCAAAAGCUUGAAUUUUUUAAUCGGUUAGGUAUGAAUUAAUUUAUAUCUUUGUAUAAUGCAAAUAUUUUCAUUUAAAAAGAGUUAAAAUAUACAUUUAACCAUUAAAAUUAAUUUUUAAAAGCUAAAUAAUAAUUUAUUAAAAAUAAAUUCAUAUUCAAUUUAUUUUCUCUUAAAAUUUAAAUCUAAUUCAAGAAACCACCUCUAGCAUUCCAUCCUUUAUAAAGAAAAAAUUAUUAUUUAGUUUUAGUAUAAAUAAAUUUAUUAGUAAAUUUUUAAAUUUUAAAAAAUAUAUUAAAAUAUUAUUUACAUUUUAAAAAGUUUAUAAUUAAUCUUUUUAUUAAUUUUAUCACAAUUUUACUAUUUAAUUUUUAUGAUUUUAAUAAAUUGCUUAAUUACUCUCUCAUUCUUAAAAGACUUCGUAUUAAGAAUAUUUUAAAUUUUUUUUAUAAUACUUAAUAAUUAAAAUUAAUGAAAAAUUAAUUAAUAAAUUUUUUAAAAUAUCAAUAAUAUAUUAAUAUAUUUUUUAAAAUCGAACAAAAUAAUUCGUGAAUAGAUAAAAUCAAUACGUAGUUAAUUUGAAUAUUCCAAACCAAAUCUGAAAGAAGAUAUUUAGAAUAUAUAGCUGAGUACAGAGUCGAGUUUGAAGGGCUAUAUAUUUAUAUAUGCAAUUUAAAAAAUAACAAUAAUAAUAAUAAAAUAGCCAAGUUGGUUAAAAAUAUCUAUAGAUUGAUGGCAAUUAGCCUUCCCGUGAUAUACUGUCCUCUGUAGAUUGAUGGCUUUCCAUCUUUCGCCAAAAAGAAAAAAAGGAUUGAAUUAGGUCAAUGGACAACCGCCAUCAAGCCUGAUUAAGCCAAAUUUUGUUGGAUGGUAAAUAUACAUCUCAACAUAAGGAGACCAACAAUGGAUGGAUACAAGAAGCUUGCUAAGGAGACCAUCCACUUCUUAUGCGUCCAUCCAUUGCAUGCAUAUAUAUACAUACAUACAUACAUACUGGAUACAUACAUAUAACUAAGCCUAUCAGGAGCUGGGUUCAUUUUGCUUUGAAGAAAUGGCCGAUAAUCAAGAAAUCGUCAGCAAGACUCACGUAUUAGUUGUUUCAUUCCCAGCUCAAGGUCACAUAAACCCAUUGAUCCAAUUCGCCAAGCGACUAGCCUUCAAAGGACUCAAAGUAACACUACUCGUCUUCAUAACCAACGAGCUUCACCAGAUCCCAUCUUCCUCUAUCAGAGUAGAGACCAUUUCCUUUACUCCUCAAACCGAUAAUUCAAACUGCAUACAUGGCUCAUUCUUCAAAAACUUGCAAGAUUCUGUUUCUGCAAAUUUGCCAGAAUUCAUUGCCAAACAAACAAAAGAUGGGUCCCCAGUAAGUUGCAUUGUGUAUGAUUCAGCCAUGUCUUGGGUUCUAGACAUAGCCAGAGAGCUUGGGGUCGCCGGAGCUUCAUUUUUUACGCAGUCAAUUGCCGUUUGCGCCAUCUACUAUCAUCUUAAUGAAGGAAAGCUCAAGAUUCCCGUUGAGCAGCCGUCCGUGUCCCUGCCUGGGUUGCCGGAAUUAGAUACUUAUGAACUACCUUCAUUUGUUUACAACACCAAGGAUUAUCCACAGGUGUUAAGCGUAUUAUACAGUCAGUUUUCUAAUUUCAGAGAAGUUGAUUGGAUCUUCUUCAACACUUUCAACAUCCUGGAAGAAGAGGUACAAACGUACAACUCAAAAAUAAUAUCAUAUAAUUUGGUUUGAUAGAAUUUUCGUUUCGGUUUGAAACUGAACCGACUUGUUACAUACCCUACAAAUAAUAUCAUAUAAUUUUUUUUUACCAUUGAUUUUGAUUGGGUCGAACACGCUACUUUUUAACCCUCAAGAUAAUCCAAUACCAAUGAAUUAAAACAGUGUAGAAAUUUUUUAGAUAGAUCCAGUCUAUUAUAAACUCAAAAUACAUGAAUGUAGGUUUCAUUUGAAUUUUUCACGGAGAAAUUCACAUUCAUCUAUAUAGAUCGAAUUCAGGUAAGUUUGUAAGUUUUUUUUUUAAAAUAACGUGUGAAAUUAGAUAAAAUAUAAAAUAUUGACCAAUUCAGUUCACUAUUGAAUUGAACCAAUUAAAACUGAAAUAACCGAAUUCUUUAUAUUUGAAAGGGAUCGAACCGAAAUAUUGCUAAUCCCUAACACUAUCUAAUGUUUUCAGUCACCCACAUUUGUUUUCAUAAUUUAAGAAAUCACACAUUUAUAUGAGCGUAAAGAUGUACUAAAAUUUCAGGUGCACCCGAUAAUUCUGUGAGAUUUCAAUAGGUGAAUUUAAAUCACUUCUUCUGUGGCACUGAAAAUUUUUUGCUGAUUUCUGUCAGGCAAUGAAUUGGAUGAGAAGCCUAAGGGAGAUCAAGGCAAUAGGGCCAACAAUUCCAUCAGUUUACAUCGGAAAACAGCUAGAAGAUGAUAAAGAUUAUGGCUGCAACCUUCUGAAAUCCAAUAACGAUUGCAUUGGGUGGCUAAACUCCAAGGAAACUGGCUCAGUUGUUUUUGUGUCAUUUGGAAGCGCAGCUGCGCUGGGAGAAGAGCAAAUGACAGAACUUGCUUGGGGCUUAAAGAGAAGCAACACAUACUUCUUGUGGGUAGUCAGAGAAACAGAGGAAAAAAAGCUUCCAAGUAACUUUGUAGAGGAGACAUCAGAGAAGGGAUUGGUUGUUCAAUGGUGCCUUCAGUUGGAGGUUCUGGCACACAAGGCUGUGGGGUGCUUUAUUACACACUGCGGCUGGAACUCGACGCUUGAAGGAUUAAGCUUGGGAGUUCCAAUGAUUGCUAUGCCACAAUGGACAGAUCAAUCAACCAAUGCAAAGUUCAUUGCCGAUGUUUGGAAGGUGGGGGUUAGAGCAAAGGUUGAUGAGAAAGGAUUGGUUUCAAAAGAAGAGGUAGAGCUUUGUAUUAAGGAAAUUAUUGUUGGAGAGAAAGGAAAUGAGAUUAGAAAAAAUUCAGACAAAUGGAAGAAAUUGGCUGAGGAAGCGGUAGAUACAGGUGGUAGCUCCGACAAGAGCAUAGAUGAAUUUGUUAAAGAACUAGUAAACAAGUCCAGUCAAUCAUAAUUUGUACUUAGAUAUCUAAAAAUAAAAAUUGUCAUGGAAAUGCUAUGUAAAUAAUAAGAAUAAUAAAUAUUUAAAUUGAAAUUAUUUGCACACUUCUUGUAUCUUAACUAAAAUUUAGAAUAAUCUUUCAUAUAAAAAAAUAUCAAAAUUAAUAUUUUAUUGAUAAAUGAUUAGAGAAAUUAUUAUUUUAUUAUUUUUAACCAAAAAUUGAGUGAACCUUAAAUCAAAAGGUUUGAUUAAUUUGAUCAAAAACUUAAUUUUGGACUUCUUUAGACAUCAGGGGCAAAAAUGAUCUUUCAAUAGAAAUUAAUUUCCAAUAAUUACAUAUUACACAACAGAAUAUAUGGCCAAUAUCAAGGCUUCAAUUUCUUUUCUGUAUACGUAUAUAUUAUUUAUCACCAUUAAUUUUUACAACACUAGUAAAAAUAUGCAAUGUGAAAUCUCAUCAGAAUGGUAGGAGUAUCUAAAGCUGUGUGUAUAUGAGUACGAGUCCCAAGGAGUACCUAAGUAUAGAAACCAAGGUAGAGAAAUUGACAGCAGGAACAUGAAGCAUUCAAAGAAUGUUUGUCAGAUCUAGCAGCAUGCUCUUGAUCAGGCAACUAAAGCCCCGAUUAGGUACCAAGUACUACUAUCAGGACAAUUCCAUAAUGAAAAAUCAUAUCAAAUAUCCAGUUUCAGCUAUUCCGCAGUGUUGCCAUCUUCCGUCCGACUGCCCAAUUUGACAAUGUCUUCAACAAGAAUCUUCCCAUCUGUUCAAUGAAUUUAAUGGAAGUAGAUGUCACAUUGGGUAAACAAAUAUAAUGCUCGAUUGGACAAAAUCUUCAUAUUAGAACAACAAAAAUUAUGACAAGGGAGAAAAAAAAAUGCAGUGCCAGAUUUUCCAAGCCCUCGUGCUCCCUUUCCAACUUUACAUAUUAAAUAAGUUUUUUCACAAUUUGACAAGCAACUUGUUAAGCCACCGAGUCAAAAACAUCCGUUGUUAGAUCUCAAAUUCUCCUAGUCAAGGGAGCUAUUCACUUGUCAACUUAUCUGUGCUAAAAGGGAUUUGUUUUGUAAAUCUGAGUAUCAACUACAGAUACACUUAUCAUUUUAAACAACAAUCAAAAUCUUUCUAAAUAGAAAAAAAGAAUCAUGUUUUUGGAGUACGGCUUAUCAUUCUGAGAACGAAAAAUAAAUGUUGAAGCAUGCACAAACUCAUGCAGACGUAUGAACAUUAACAACAGAUUGAGAAAGAAGGAGUGGGAAUGAUCGGCUGACCUCCAUCUUUAGAAAGAUUGCUGAUGAGUUCUUGAACACCUUCCUUGCCUAAUGUAUCCUUCAAAUACAUAGCAGCAGCUGCUACCUCUUCAGGUGUAACUUUGCCAUCAUAAUCCCUGCAUAAAAAACAAUAUAACAAUAUGAACCAUACAUUUAAAUUUGAAGUAGCAGUUGUAGCCACAAGUAGAGUUGGUAUAGCAUGUAAUAGAACUGCAAGCCACAAACAACAAUAUAAUGUUAUUGUCACCACAGCAGCUAUUUAUAAAGGCCAAAUAUAUAAUUUAACCUGUAACUUUUACAGAAAAACUCAGUUGGCACCUUGAACAUUUUGUUAUUAACUUUUGACACUUGAAAUUUAUAAAAGUGCAAUUAUUUAACCCGUGUGCACAAACAUUAGUUACAUGCACUCAGAAUUUUCAGUAGUUAAAUAGUUACACUUUAUAAAUUUCAAGGGUUUCAUAGUAAUGUAUUAUAAAGUUCAUGGAUUAAAAAGUUAUAACAGUUAUAUAUUAUUAUAAGGUUGAUGAAUGAAAUAGCUGCACUUUGAUAAAAACUGGGUGUCAACAGUUAACAACAAAAAAGUCAAGAUGCGGACUGACUUUUUUGUAUAAAAAUAAGAGGCUAAAUUAUGUAUUUGGCCAUUUAUAAAUAAAUGAAUAGAUGUGCAAGAUUUUGUGAAAACCUGAAUGAAUCCAAUGGAAUAUGAUCAUAACAUGCAAAAAAAAAUAACUGAGUCAUAAUAUAUAUUUUUGAAUUAUCAGUCUAGGUCAAAAAAAAUAACAGAGCUUCGAAGUUUCACCUUCAUGUCACUACCAAAAGGAAUGCCAUGGAUCCAAAAGAAUUUGUAAAAAUAAAUAAAUAGAAUAGAAUAUACAAUAAAAUGAGAACCUAAACUAGUAUUUUUAACUUGUAUUUUUAAUUUGCAUUCUGCGAAAAAUAAAGAAACCUAAGAAAGCCCAAAUUUUAUCUUGUAAAGAAUUGAGCAUUAGACAAUAGAAAUAAGUCGGUUUAAGUACUUAUAAGAGAUUUAACUACAGUUUAUUGUAUAAUAUGGUACCAAACAGACAAAGAAUAACAGAUGUUACCUACACCUUUAUUAUAUGUCCAUUAAGUAACGGCAGUAUGAAUCAUGGACCCACGAAAUAUUUACAUGAUGCUGGUCAUAAAAUGCAAUGACCAUUAUUUUAAGCAUGAUAUGACUAUAAUUAUAGAUUGAAGUGCAUGUCAAAUAAUCCACAAAUAUAUAGGAUAGUAAUUUUAAUAAAGAAAAUGAAGAAGUAAAAAAAAGAGAGAAAAAAUUACUACUUAAUUCUUAUGGUACAGAAAAACUCACUAAUUAAUCUUUCAAUUUUAGAAAAUGCACUAAAAAAUUCCCUAAAAACAUUCCUAAUAUUUUGAAAAGUCUACUACUUAGUCUCUCCAUUAAUUUUGCCGCUAAGUAUUCUACUACUUAGUCCCUAUGAUUUUGAAAAACUUAUUAGUUGGUCCUCUAAAUUUUAAAAAAUUUACUAAUUAGUCCCUCCGUAUCAGAGGCAUUUCAAACUUUUUUGCAAUAUUUAACAACUAAAACUAACGAAGGGACUAAUUAGUAGAAUUUUUAAAACAUUAGGAACGUUUUAAUGCAUUUUUCAAAACCAAUAGACCAAGCAGUGAAUUUCUCCAUACCAUAGAGACUAAGUAGUAAUUUUUCUAAAAAGAGAAAUAAAACACACAGCUAAACAGGAAAUUGAUUCCUCCAAAUUAAUGCCUGAAAGAUAACCAAAGAAACUGGCUUUUGAAUAUUCUAAUCAGCUUGACUUGCAAUAUCAACUUUAAAUAGAAGAUCUUGACGUUACACUUUUCAUUCCAUUCCAUUGGUGUCCUCAAGCAUGGGAAGUUCAGCAACACCAAGUAUGAAGAAUUUCAAUUAUUAUAUCAUUUUCUUUUUCAAAUAUAUCGAAGUAGGAUAGGCUUUUUUUUUUCAACAUGCAGUGCAAAAAUAUGGCAUUUCAAAAAGAAAUUUGUUCAACAAUGAUAAAAUCCACUAACUUCUAACAUCUUUAAGGAUCCAUAGAGCAAACCUGGAAUGAAAUAUUGAUCCUUGUUAUUGGAAUCCUAAAAUCACUUUGUGAAAUAGAAAUUAAAGCGCUACUUUGUUAAAUGCUACUAAUCAAAGAGACCUGGAUUAAAUGACUUGUUUUCCUAUUCCAAUUCCAUUUCUUGGUAAGCCAAAUAGGACCAAACUUGAGCCAAUGAAUUUCCCACUCCAAUAUAUGCUUCAGAGACCAUUCCUACGUUAAAAAAAUUUCAUGCCAAUCCAAGGCAUUCCUCAUUUUGGUUCCUUGUAAUUUCUUUGCUUCCUUGUGCAUAACAGUCAUCAACAGCCAAAUCUCCUAAUGGCCAGCACACUUACUUUCAUGCUACAAAGAAGCACACUGUGUUCUAUAACAUUAUGCAGUACCCCUUGCAAGAGAGGGCUAACUACAAUUUGUGGCAUUCACUUUAGAGUUCUAUAGAUCUUUGGAGUUCUAGUGAGUAGAGAACAACCAAAAAGAUGAAAGAAAAUAAAAUAUGAUGCACCUGUCUAGUAGUCGCAAAUGGUUACCAAUUUUGGCAUCUACAUCAUCAAUUUCCUUCUCAAGAUUUUGCAGCAUGGAAUCAACCUGGAGUUUGAUUAAUGACCAAAACAAUUAAAAACAGCUAAGAACAAAAACUUGCUAACAGAUGAUGAAAUGGUAAAUUGGCAAUGGAAUCCAUAAGUCUUACCUUUUCUAUUAGUGCUGAAGAAACAUUGUCACGCUCAUUCACUUCAGAAGCAUGAUCAUUUUCCUCUCGGGCAGCUCUAUAGGCCCUAAUGGCCUCUUUUUCCCCAUCGGUACCCUCCUUCUCUACCAUGCUGUUGUAAAGCUCUAUCUGAACACAUACUCUCUAUUAGAAAACUAAGAAGUUUGCCAAGCCUAAAAGUAAGCCUAGUACCUAGAGAGCAUGCCAGUUGACUUCCCAAACAGAUAAACAAAAUCAAAUAUUAAGCAUAGAAGGAAAAAAAAUCAAGAAUAAAAGCUGCAGAAUGUAGAUAUUCAAUGUUCAAAAUACCUCCUUGUUAACUAGGCUUAAGAACUCUUCACGUUCUCUGCUCACUGACUGCAAGAUUAGAACAAAAUAGAAAUUGAAAAACAGAGAAGAUUAAACGACUAAUUAUGAAGAGUUAAAGACAAUUAAAAUUCCUCUUUUAGAUCUCUUAAAAAAAUGGAAACGUCAUCCAAAACGCUUGGGCUUGUAUACAGGUUAACCGUAUAAAACUUAAUUGAUCCAGCCUUAAGUCCCAGUUAAUUAGCAUGGAUUCAAGGCCUAGACCAACAACUUUCUAGGACCCAAUUCCAGUUUAUAAAAGGAAGUACAAGUUAGCAAGGAUGACCAACAAGAAUCUAGGACCCAAUUCCAGUUUACAAAUGGAAGUAAAAAUUAGCAAGGAUGACCAACAACUUUCUAGGACCCAAUCCUCCAAUACUUGAGAGUAGAUCAGACCAUGGUCCAGUUUAAAAAGGAACUGAAACUAACCAAACCCAUAUUGACCAAACUGGCCUUGAAUAGGAACUGAUUGGUCCAACUCAGGCCAAAACUGAUUUUCAUUUUAAAAUAUUUCAACAGUUGACUUUGAUGAAAACCAAAUGGAUCAAACGAGAACUGGGACCUAUGCCACCUAAGAGGACUUGCAAAUGUCUAAAAACCUUCAUCAACAAAAAUUUCUAAACUCCCCAGUUCUUACAGAUGCUGAAGCUAAAACUGCAAGUGCACGGCUAAGUUCACAGAGCUGCUCUUGUUUCUCCAAUGUUCUUGCUCUAGCUUGUUCUUGUGCUUCAAGUGCUGUUGGUGUAAUCAUCUCUUUCAGUGCCACAUCCUCUUCGUUAACUUUAGAUUCUAUUAUCCUGGAAAGCUCCUCUUCCUCUUUUUCUUCCUCCUCCUGUGAAUUAUCAAUACAACACCAACUUAAGUAACUGAAAAGAUGAACCCAAUUGUCAAAAAUGCUUUGAGACUCCUUUUUGAAAAAGUGAAGCACAAAGAUCAUACCUGAACCCAAGGUUAAGACUUAUCAAGUUAUCAUAUGACCAUAUUAAGAUUUUAUGACCAGUAUUCAAAUUAUCCUGUUUUCCACACAGUGUCAACCAAAAUACAUACUAAAAUAUCCAACUAUAAAACAGUCCUGAUAGAACACCACAAAGUAUUCUCUUGAUUUUCAAAUGCAAUUAAGAAGUCUACUAUGUUGCUAAGAACAUCAAUCUAAAGUUCUAAACACAACCAAAUUCAACCUUGAUAAGUUCUUCCUGCAUCUCAAGAUACUCCAGCUUUCUCCUCCUCUCUGAAACAGAAUCCUCUGAUGGCAAUGCUGUAACACCAACAGUAUCGACAACCUCAUCAGGCAGAGAAGACAAAGUUGCUUGAACAGCUUCCUCCGGUUUCAUUUUUCCAGAGACAGUAAAGGCCCUGCAUAUGAUUCAAACCAGAAAACUUAGAAAUUGAAAAUUAAGUAUACAGACGGGGAUGAAAUUUUAAAUGAUAACAAAAAAAUUAAAACUAAAAAAAGGUGGCACAAAAACAAGAUAAUAGAGAACUUCAGGCUACCUUGAAAGGAUCAUAAGGGAAGAUGGAACAGAGUGAUUGAGAGACAGAUCCAACCAAUCACGAAGCUGUAUAUAAAAAGUCAAGAAGUUGACAGAAUAAUGCAUAGGGCGUCAGCUUCAAACCUUAACCAAUUUGAAAUUAUGUAACAAGACAAGAAAAUUUAUGUACUAUUUUUAGUAAUUGAUAACGUUUCAUGAUCUUGCAUAUUUGCAUCAUGCCAAUUGAAAUCCUUUUGUAAAAAGAUUUUUACCAUAUUGACAGCAUAAGAUGCUUGAAGUAAGGAAUUAUGAAGGAGGGAAUGGACGUUCACAAUUCAACACAAGUAUACACCAAUGUAAUAUUUACCACUGCAACAUGAAGCAUGCAACAAGCUACACUUAUGCUAAUCAGUACAAGCAAAUAUCAUAUUAAACCUAGUGGCAUUAGAUCCAAGACAAUCAAUCUGGAAACAAACAAGCAAAAAGGCCAAACCCAACCUGUUGCCGCAUUUCUUCAACCGAUAACAACCCAAGCAUGCCUCGCUCUCUACAUUCUUCACGAAGUUCGGCCUCUGAAAGAGACUCCACGCCCUCUGCUUGGAUCAACUUAUCAUCAUUCUUGAUCCUAUAAGAAACAUAGGAUGAUCAAUAUUCAAAUACAACAACAGAAUUUUGUUCCUAUAAAUUAGCCAACGGAAAGGAACUUAGGUAAAGCAAACCACAUUCAUCAAUUUGUGGUAAAACACAAUCACAAAAGAAAAAGGAACAUAGAGAUUAAGGUAGCUCGCGCACGCACGCACACAAAAAAAAAAAAAGGAGGCUUAGGAAAGAAGAAGGCAGAGGAUGCCUUCUUUCAAUCAGUCAUAUACUUUGGAGUCCAUGCCAAUUAAGUAUAAAGAAUAAAUAUCACUUCCCCUGAAGGUGGUACAAUGUAAAACAACCAAACAUUUCUCUUUGAGCCAAUUCAAAAUUGACAAAGCAGCCUACACAAGCUAUCAAAUUGAGCACAAGUGCCUUAGAUUAGGCACAAUUUCAACAUAAGCCAUGCACAAACAAAACUGCAACCCAAAUUGAAUAACCCUCUCUCACCUUUGGAGUCUUUUACGAAGCAUGUAACGCAAGUAUGCAUCUGUUCCAAAAGGGCUGAUUCCCAUGUACUUGCACAUACUGACCAAGCGAGGCCUAAAAAAAGCAAAAACCAAACAUGUAACUUGACAAAGCACAUAUUAUUACCAAGAAAAAAUAGAAAGGUGCCUUAAGUAAACAAGCAAUCACAAGCAACCAACCGGCUAAUAUUAUCCAAAGUUAGCUCAUCAUUGAAAAGCUUAGCAAAGCCCAAAAUCUCCUCAUUAGAAACACCUGCACCCCUUCUAACCUGCAUCAUUAUACAAUCUUGUGUUGGUUAAAUCAAACAUCAAAAGUUGGAAAAGAUAGCUAAAAUACACACAUAGGAUAUUGUUGCUGAUUCUUACCCUGUUCAGAAACUCAUCAAGAUCCUCAGCAGUUUUCUUGAUUUCUCCACUUCGUGUGUUUUGGACUUCCUUUGCCAUUUCUUUGACAGUAUCCUGAAGAAACUUAGCAUAUUCUAUUCUUGCAUUUAGCCUCCUUUUCAGUGCUUCCUACAUUUCGUACAAUUGAUAAGAAAAAAACAACCUGUUUAGACAAGACAAAUAAAGAACAAGUGCAGAUAUACAGAGUCCUCAUGCAUAUUGAGUACGGCAGCAAACAAUCACAAUAAAGCCAAGCUGAGCAAGCAUCAGCAUUUUUCAGCUUUUCUACGUCAAGCUUCCCAAAUGAACCAGAACUUGACCAGGCAUAACCAUGAGCUGACAAGCCAAACUUGGACUUGUUAGUUAACAUAGUUGUGUGAAAAAACUAUCCAAGCACAAAAUUUUAAAUAUUAUGUUCAAACACAACUAAAGCAUAGCAGCAACUACAUAAUUAUAUGAGCACAGGUUAUAACAUUGCAGAAUGAGAAUCGUGACCACACAUAGAGGUUCCAUGCACAAGCUUUUUUUACGAUUUGAUUUUUGUGAUGCCAAAUCUACUAUAUAGACUUAAUUUCCCCUCAUUAUCAAUACUAAGUAAGAUUCCAUACUUGAACCUCUGCAAUAGAAGAAGAGAACAAAGACACUAACAACAUCACAUCAGUUAAUUAUAAUGCAAAGACAACAACCAUCAAACCUGUACCUGCUCUUUCAUCUUAUCUUGAAAGGUUGAUGGCAACAUGUUGGGGAACAAUUUUAAGAAUACUGGUAGCAGAAAUUCCAUGAAUGGAACAAUGAUAAAGACUGCAAAGGGCACUAGUCUAAAAAUGUCAGCAGUGGUACGGGUAAGCUGUUGCCUCUCCCUUCUGGAUAAACUCCUCCCACCAGCAAGUUUUAAUAGCAAUCUUGAACUGAUCCUCACAUCAGCCCAUAGAAGCUUGCAACCUAACCAGUAAUGUUUCAAUGUUGAGACAAAUUCAUGUUUCCAGUGAGAAAGUUUCUUGGCCCAGUCCUCCCUGGAGAAAAAAUAGCAAACAAUCCAUAAAAUCGCACACUGAUUGCAGCCAAUUAUUAAUUUAAAAAAAAAUAAAGAAAAAGAACAAAAUUGAUGCAAAGGCUUUAACCUGCUCAUAGAAGCGACCAUCCUGAAAGCAGGACCAAUCCCCAGAAGCAUAGCCCACGUUCUUUGUAAAAUGGAUUUAGCAACCUUUUGAGAUUCAUGCAAGCGUUUUGCUUUCACUUUGGCUUUUGCAGUGCUCAAACCUUCAACAGCUUGAUCACAUUCUUCAGGAGAUGCUACCUUUCUCCUUCUAGCAACUAUUUCUUCAUUGUUCUCAUCAUCACUGCCCAAGUCUGGUUGCUUUGCUGUAACAGUUGAUGCAUCACGAACAGAAAGUAACAUCAAUCUUCUUGGAUAAACCAACUCUGUUUGCACACGUCCAUGACCCAAAAUUGUGGUAUUGUAAAAUCCAUGCCUAAACUGCCCUGCUCUGGAAAAGCCAAAUAAUCCUGCUCUUGCCGCUAAAUUUCUUUCCGAUUCUUUUGCAUAAUUAACAUCUGAAGACGACUGGCUCGUAGUACCAUUAUAUAUGUGUGUAUCCAAUUUCGGAGCUGCAUGACCAAGACAUUGGAAACUCUGAAUUGUGCGAGUUGAGGCAUUCAAGUAAUCAGAAAUCACUCUCUUCCGUCUUAAAAUUGCCCUAGAAGCCAUUUUGCAGAUACUUCCCUUCUCACAGAGAAAUAUAUUCACUUUUCAUAGCCAACCACUUACUUGUUCUGGCAAAUAAAAGAUUCACAAAAGAUAUUAUCAAGAACUACAAAAUAAUAUAUACCAAAAAGAAACAAACUGCAAACUUCAUAAAGAAUACUAUUUUUGUACUUUUGUUCACAUCACUUCAUAUUGCAAAGCAAAAAACUUAUUGCUACUUAGUAAGGCACAAUGUACUGUAAUGAUGAAAUGAAUGAUACAAAGUAAAUGUCUACCAUUCUCAUGUUUGGUUAGAACACACAAAAUAAAAUGAAAAAUAUACAACAUGUGAUGUAAUGAUAAUUUUAUUUUGAUAGUUGGUUUACUUGUGAAGGGAUAACCAGGAAGAGAAAAUGGCUGCAGUGAGUAGCGACCAGGUGAUGGCUAGGUGGGUGGUACCUAGGCUAGGUGGUGAUGACGGAUGGUGGUUGGUGGGGAAAUAACCAGUGGUGGUGGUCGUCAUCAUCGUUGGCUGUUAGCAGUUUUUUGCACAUAAUGGUCAUUACAAAAGUUAUAUGAGCUAAUUAUCAUUUAUGUCAAAAUUUUUGCAUAUAAACCAAACCAUAAUAAAACAAACAAUAUAAUCAUGAUUUCUUUUCCACAUUUGUGCCAUCAUAUCAUUACCCUUAUUAUUCCGUGACCAUUAUAAUCAUCAGAAACACUUUUUAUCAAUUAAACAACAUGCCACGUUACUUCAUCAAAUCAAACACAAAAAAAGGUCAACUUAAAUUUAGAAGACUAUAAAAAAUAAAGGGCUCUUUCCAAAAAAGACAAAACAAAAAUCUGUAUGCUACGUUACAGAUUACAGCUUCAACAAAGACUGGCUGGUGGAUUACUGGGGAAGGGGCAAGGCAAGCAAUUGAAUAUAAACGACAAACGCAAAAAGAGACAGAAAGAGAUCUAACAAAAAUAUAUAUCAAAAUAAAAGGACACAACAGCAAUAUCCAUACAAGCAGUAAUUUUCAGAAAUGAAUAGCGAACGAGAGAAUCAUACUAACAGAAAACAUUCCCAGGAACCAAACAGAAAUGUGCAGAACCGCAAAAAAUUCACUAUAAUUUUCAGUUUCAACAUAAACCGCAAACAGAGGAGACCGAAAGCAGCACAACAUACUUACAAUUCUUAAAUAAGAAACUCAGUGCCUGUGAUCGGGAGAUGAAUCAAUCAGAGGAAGUUGGUAAAAUAGAAAGACUUGAGAGAAAAGAAAUUACAAAGAACAAGAUGGCUGCUCUUUAUAUUAAGGAGAAGGGGUUUUAGAAGGGGAGGGGGAAAGGGGAUCCUCUGUGUCGCAGGUGCACGACUGUAACUUAAUAUGAACCGUCUGAUUAGCUUAAUUGUAUGUUAGAUAUAUCUAGGUCAAGAAAUAGAUUAGUUCUCUCUCACUUUCAUAAAAAUUAAUUUAUUUUCUAAUUUUUAUACAUCUUAUUAUUUCCGUACUUUUUCCGUUACAUAAUUUUUAUCCAUCAACAUUUUUUAAUUCUUAAAAUUAUUUAUUUUUAAAUUAAUAUAUUAAAAAAAUAUUUAAAUAUUUAUUACUUUUCAUAUCUAUAUCAUAAUCUUAAAAUCAUAAAUAAUAAAGUUAAUUUUUUUAUAUUUAUUUUGAUUUUAAUUAUUUAUUUUAAUUAAUUUUAACUAAAUAAAAUUAUUCUUUAAAAGAUUUAUUAAAUCAAAAAAUGAAAAAGUUUAUAUUAAUUCAUAUUUAUAUUUAAAAGUUUAAAUUUCAGAUAAUAAAAUUAUAAAAUUUUCAUUUUAUUUCAAUUAUAACCAAAAAAUAAAAUUAAUUUAAGAAAUUAUAAAAAAAAAUUAUAAUAUAGUCUCUAAAAUUUUAUUUCACUAAUAAAAUAGCCCUUAAAAUAUAUAUAUAUAUAACAAUAACUUUUUUAUUAAUUCUAUUAUUUACUUUUUAUUCUAUUUUAUACAAAUAUUAUAGUUUAAUAAAAAUUUAAAAUAUAAAAAAUUAUAAUAUAAAAUAUAUAAUAUUUUAUUUUAUUUAAUAUUAUUAAUAUAAAAUAUAAUUUUUUAUCAAAUCUGACAAUAAAUUAAUAUAUAUUAUAAAUUUAUUUAUGUGAAUAAAAUAAAAAUAUUGAAUAUAUAGAAUAAUUUAUAAAUGACGUUGUUAAUAUAUUUAAAAUUUUAUAAAAAUUAUAAAUGGAUGAUUUUAUAUGCUAAAACAUAUAAUAUUUUAGCUUUCUAUAGUAGUAUUAUUAAGUCAUUGUAGUUUUUUUAAAAUUAAUUUAAAAAUUUUCAGUUGAAACGAUCGUUUUUUUGAAUUAAACUCUAAUUUUUAUAUAAAAUUCUAUUAAGAGAAACGUUAGUCAAGUUUUUCCUAUAAUGAUUAAAUAUUAUGAAUGAUUGAAAUUAUAAAAAUAAAAUAAAUUAACUAACACUUUUUUAUAAUAUUAAAAUGUAAUUUUAGAAAAUUUAAGAAAUAUUUUAGUUAGAUUUUAGAAAAGAUAAGGAAAAUUCAUAUUUAUGGGAAUUUAAUAAUAAUUUUACUCCAUUUUAUAUCUGUAAUUAUAUAUUUCAACGAUGACAACUGAAUUUAAAAAAAAAAUUAGAAAUAUAUUUUUCAAGAAAAAUUUAUUAUUUAAUAUUUAUAAUAUAAAAAAAACACAUUGAUUAGUUAUUCAAUUUUAAAACAUAUAUUAAAAAGUUUUUCAUAUCUAAAAAGUCUAAUAAUAAAUGCAGUUAAGAAUAUUUUACUUUUUUUUUUAAUACUUACAAAUAAAAUUAACGAAAAAGGCUUUAAUGAUCUAGAUAAACCUUUGCCUAGCUAAUUUCUAUUUGAUAGUCUUAAUGAAAUUUGCAUGGAUUAACAGUUUAUGCAUUCUAAUUUUCUCAUCUUAGGUUUUAGAUUCUGAUUAUUUUUGUCAUUUACGCUCCGCUUCACCGAAAAUAUUUAUUAAAAAAAUAUUUAUCAUAUUUUCUGUUUUUUAUAUUUAAAAUUUUAGUUAAAAAAAUUUUUUUUAAUUAAAUAAAAAAAUAAAUCAUUCUAAGAAACCAAACUAAAGCCGAAAAACAGAGGCUAAAAACUUUUUCUCCCGGAAUAACAAUUGGAUCGAUUUAAUUUAAAAUUAAAUUAAAUUAAUUAAAUUUAAAAUUUAAAAUUUAAGUAUUUUAUGAAAAUUGAAUUGAUCAAGAGAGAAAUCAAUUUGAAUAAAAUCAAUUGAAUAAUUUGAUUCGUUUUAGUUUGAUCUAUCUUUCUAAUGAUUUUUUUUAAAUAUCUCAUAUUUAGUGUCCUACAAUUCAAUAGAAAUAUUUUAAGUUUGAUUAGAAUUAAAUCUCCUUAUAUUAUUAAAACUACAUAAUAAAGAGACAUUUGCACUCAUAUAGAUUUAGUCUGAUAGUAAGUGUAUUUAAAUAAAUAUGAGAAUUCUCAAUUUCUACUCUUUCAAUCACAUUUUUUUAUAAAAAAAAACCUUUCGAAACGGUUCAGAAAUUGAAAAAAAACUCCAAAAAAAAAUGAGAACAAAACCCUAAGAAAAACCAGACCUCUCUCCAAAUAGUGAGGUUUUUAUAGUGGCAUGCUUUUAAAUUUUAAAUAAUCUUUUGAUUUGUCAUAAUUAUAUCUAAAAAUAUUAAAUUAAAUUUAUAUAAAUUAACGAUAAAUUAUAAUACAGUUUUUAGAGUUCUAUUUGAUAAUAAAAUAAUCCUUAAAUACAUAUUUUUUAUUACAAUAACAUUAUUUUUUAUUAAUCACAUUAUUCAGGAGAUUUAUAAAACAUUAUCAAGUUGGAGUUCAUUAUUUUUUUCUUUUUUAUUUUAUAUUUGUUGUAGUAGACUAAACCAAAAUGAUGGAUAAAAAAAUCAAUAACUAGAAUUAAUGUUUGACAAAGAAAAGACUAGAAGUAAUGUGGGAAAUAAAUAAUAUAAGGUGUACUAGAAUAAUAUUAAAUAAUUUAAAUUAAUUAUUUUGGAUAAAUUAAAAGAUGGAUUGAAAAAUUAUUUAGAUUAGUUUUUAUUAUUGCAAAACUAGUGGACCAGCAAUGAAAAACUGUCUAUGGGACGAGAUGCAGGGCUGAGCAGUAUUCGGUUUAAAUCGAAUAAACUGAUCGAAUUGAAUUAAUUUUAAAAUUUGGUUUAAUUUUUUAUUCAAUUCAAUUUGGUUCGAUUUUUAAUUUCAGAAAUUUUGGUUAUUUUGAUUCGGUUCGGUUUUGAUCAGAAAAAAGUUGAAAAAAUCGAAUUGAACCGAUUAAUGAUAAUAAUAUAUUAUUUUUAAUAAUAUAAAGAAAUUAAAUCAUAUUAAAAUUAAAAUAUUUUAAUUAAAUUUUAAAAUAUUAAAAAUAAAGUGUAAAAAAUAAAAAAUAAAAAAUUUAUUAAAAAUCAAAAUCGACCAAAUUGAACUGAAUCAAACUGAAUCAGAUCGGUUCUGCUUGCAAGUGGACCAUUUACAAGUGAACCGUUUGCAAAAUCGAUCAAAUUGAACUGAAUCAAACCCAGUUCAGAAGUAUGGAUUGUUUGCAAGAGAUUAGAUAUUUCUGAACUGAAUUUGUGUUAGAGUCUAAAAUUGAUAUUUCUGUUAAAUGGGUUCGUCGCCACUCUAGCAACUCAUACUUUGUGUUCGUCUCUCUGAUUGAGAUGAUAUCUCUCUUCGAUUUGAUGGAUUUUUAUUAAUAUAAUAAAUAAUUUUGUUUUUUUAAAAAAAAAAUUUAAACAUUAUUUAGAUUAAUUUUUAUUAAUUUAUUAUUAUUAUUAUAAUAGUCACGCUGAAUUAAAAAAUUAUACGAAAUUAGUAAAUUUAUGAGUAAAUAUUUAUAUAUAGAUUGAGAUAAUAUAUGGAAUAAGUAAAUCAAAGUACUUAAAAGGUCCAAUAUACUUAAAGGUUCGAUAUAUUUUAGUAAUUAUAUUUAAUUUAGCACCGUAAAAAUAACACCAAUAGCAUCCCGUCUCCCGUUGAUUGAGAAAAGAAAUAUUGCAAAAUUUAUAUAUAACUGGCUUAAAACGAAUAAUAUUUUUAUUUAAGUGAAAAAAUAAAUAAAAAUUUAUUUAAAUCAAUUUGAGUCAGAUCGUUAGCAUUAAAAUAUAGAAACUAUAGAAACUGAAUCACAUUAUAUAGAAAGUUUAAUUUGUUUCAAGAACCCUAAACUGCACACCCUUUUCCAAUUUGAACAAAAAGGGAAAUCUCAAUUUUCUGUCUUAAGGCAAUGGACACCCACCAGUUCUUGCCUAUUAUUGAACUCAUAGGGACAAUAAGAGAAUGCUCAGCUCAUUCACUGAUUGGAGUAAAAAAAUGCAAAUUUCUCAAUUAAACUAAUAAUUCCCAUUCUCUACUCUAUUUAAGCCAAUCAGUAGCACUGCAUUAUAUUUGAACAAACUUAUUUUUACUCAUCAUAAACAGUAUAUCAUUUUCAUUCACUGUUACCAAUAGCACCCAAAUGCAUUACAACAAAGGACCCUUUUGCCUUCCAUUUUCAAAAAAUAAUUUUUAAAAUGUAUGUGUGAACAUAAACAACCAAAAAAACAAGCAUUUGCACAUAUUAUACACACAAAGGAACUGUUGCAGCUCCUUAAGAGAACAGAAAACAAGGGAUAAAGCUCAUUUUGAUUUUCAAUCCAAUUAAUGCCCAGGAUCCAUUUGAUUUAUAAUUAGGAUAGUGUACAUGAAGCUCCAAAACUGUUAAGGCUAUGGAAAUUUCUCAACUUUAUCUUGUUGCACUUCUUUGACUGGAACUGAUUUGCCUCUUACUUCCUGCAUAUCAUCCCAUCAAUAGUGAAUUAGAACACAGAAAAGCACAGUUGUCACUCAUCGCCUCUGUGGUUGCAGUAUCUAUGAUUUAUCAUUACAAGAUCAUUGCCAAAACUUAUUUAAACAUAAAUUUAACAAGGCAUGCCAAAGUUUGAAUGACAAGACGACUCAAUAGGUCAGUUAGCAUCAAUCUCUUGCACAGAGUUUCUGAGAGGUGGUUUGGAGAUGUUGCGAAGCUUGUAUUUUGAUUAGAUUUUAAUUUUUAAGACAAAGGAGUCUCAACUUUCAAUUCAGUUUACCAUUUUCUCUCCUUUUCUUUAGCAGAAAUGGAUUUAGGCUGUUGCCAAUUCUAGCUAUGGAGUCAUUUUUUCCCCUUAUCCUCCAAUCUCUAUGUAAUUGCGUACUACAUUUUUUGAAAAUCAAAGCUGCGAAAUUUCAAUUAUCAAACAUAAAAAUUUUGGUGGUUUGGCUACACAUACUACUACAUAGAACUCAUUGCUCUUCUCAGUACACAUUAACAAACUCUGACCAUCAAGAGUGCUCUCUAGCUCUCAAACCAUAUGUAUUUAUAUGAGAGCACGAGACACUCACAAUAAUCUUCAGUGCUUUCAAGUUCUCCAAGCCAUCAACACCAAUAACCAACAAACUAAGUCAUUUCACAGUUUCUCUGCUUCCCCUAAGGCCGGGGGCUUCACUCGCAUUAAAACAAGUAGACGCUCCAUCCAAUAGAUUAUUAAUACAAAUUUAGUAGAAAAAAUUUUAAUAGUCUAUAGGGGAGGUACAGAAGAGCUAUGGACAUGGAAUUUUGUUUAACAAACCCUCCAGAAGUGUUUGACUAGGAUAUGUAGAAGAUCCAAGUCAAGAACCUUGGCCAUGGCUUCUUUUGUUAAUAACAGAUGGAACAAAAUAUAAAAGUGAUUUGGUAAUGAAACAUACCAAGGAAGCUUAAAAGUGUCUUUCCACCAUCCUUGUUUUGAACACUGGGCAACUAUUUUAUUCAACCGUACAAUGAUAUCAGAAAAGGUUGGCCUAGCAACAGGCUCCGGAUGCCAACAUUCAACAAUCAACCUGCAUGUAGAUCAAGAUUGCUUCUAAAACCAUUAGACUCCUUCUUCAGUACAAAGCUUUACAUACAAAGUAAUCAAAUAUUUAGUCAUUUUGUUGUAGCAUGCAUGCUCACAAACAUAUGCAAAUUAAAAUUCCUCAAUAACUAAAUUAUAAGAAUUCUCAAAAAAAAAAAAAAACACUAAAUUAUAAGAAAAAGAAAAAACUCAAAGUAUAACCUUCUUUGAAGCUCUAAAGCCCUCAUAUUCUAGAGAACAUAGAGGACCAAAAAUAUUAGAAUAUUACAGAACCGCAGUCCCUCUAAUGGGGAGAAAUGAUAAAGAUCAUUAUUAACUCACCUAAAUUUCAGCACUUAUCCUAUUAACUGGCUUAAGGCAAUAAUCCCUACCUGCUCAGCAUUAAUUUGACAGGCAUUCUUGUGGUUAAGAAUCCAUGAGGUAAUGACAUGGUUGUGGAACAGGUUACUACUAGAACAAAAUAUAAUUCAAAACAGAAAUUCAAAAAACUAAAAAUUUAAGAAAUGUUUCAAAUUUAGAAUUCAAAGAAUAAUCAGAAGAAUAAGUAGCCUUCCAGCUAAACAUUCUUAUCACAGUUUUAUGGUGACCUUAUUUUAUUAACUUCUAUCCAACUUGCAAAAGAAUAACACCCAGAGUGAAUGUGCUUUUUUACUGAAAGUUAAACUUACUGUUUUAGAUCUGGAGGAUAACUUCUUGAUUUUGUCUUGAGUGGUGGUCUCUGUUUCUCCAAACACAUCAAUUUUACAGCCUCUUCCGGAGAUUUGGAAUGGUAAGGCAGCACUCCCUCAAUCAUCUAAGCCCAAAAGAAAUACAAGAAAAGGGAAAAAGAGAGUUUAGCUUUUACUUCCUACUUCCUACUAUUAAACAACCUGCUAAUAUAAUAAGCCUGCAUGACAUAUCAGUACGGGAUGUAAUAAGCUAAUUCAAGUUGAUGAAUCUUAAUCAUGCUACUAAGCAUGCCAAUACUUAAGAAAUAUAUAAAAAAAAGAAAUGCACCUCGUACAAAAUUAUACCAAAAGAGUAUGCAUCCACAGUUCUAUCAAAUAUUUCAUCUUUGUAAAUCUCAGGUGCGCCAUAAAUAUCUACAAACCAACAAAGCAACACCAUUACUUGAAUUCCAGUCCAGAAUAUCUGUUGUUUUUAGUUUUUCACCAAUAGUAUGAACUUUGGUGAGAGUAGUUAUAAUUCAGAGUGCUUUAACUUCAGUUCAUAUAAUGUAAGAACUUACUUGAAGGUUCAAUGGGAGUCCCCGGUGCUACUUUAGCUUUGUCAGUUGAAAUCUUUGACAACUUUAUCAAACCAAACCCAGAUACCUUCAACAGACCACCACUAUCCAGCAAAAUAUUUCUGGCACCUUACCAAAAUUUGAAAUAUUAAAGAAAUGUACAUCCAAAUGUGUAAAAUUAAAAUUCACUUUACAAGUAGAUUAACUUUUUGCAUUUGCUUAUCUUACUUUGGCUUUAAAUCACAAUGGAUGAUGGGAUCCGGCUUGCAUUCAUGAAGACAGUUCAUUCCCCUGUACAGCAAAUCAAGACAUCAUAAAAACCAAGCAUCUGGAGAUCAUUGACAGUGUAAAAUAGAACAAGCAUUUCAAGGCUUUAAUAGUUGUUCUGUUGUAGUGAUUAUUCUAACUUCAUUAAUCCAGAAAGCUCCAUUUUAAUUCUAAAGUGCACUUGCCUAGCAAUAUCAAGAGAAAAUCUCAAAGCUUUGGAUGGAGAAAGACGCCCUUUCUUGUGAAGAUAACUUGCCAAAUCACCCUGAGAUGCAGAAAAUUUACCGUUAAAUUAAUCUUUAAACCAUUCGAUCAAGGUAUUGCACCUCCUGAAGCUUUUCGCUUUCCAUAACUGGACCAAGAAAGAAACUAUUCUAAAAGACACCUACUAUGGACCUAAGUCAAUCAAAUGAAUCCAAAAUAUGAUUUUUAUAAGGAAAUCUACAACACAAAGAAGAUAUAUUUUAAAAGCAUUUGAGAGUGAAAGCAAAGUUUUAAUUUAUCCAAUCAUAUUCAGGAUAUUUUGCUCCAAUGCACUCACAAUUCAACUAAAUAACAUUGUAACACCAGAAUACUUAAUUUUCUGAGCAAAUAAUAAAGUAGAAUUUUUUUUUCAGAUGAAUAAUAAAAACCUAUCAUGAAAUCAAACAAUCUUUUUAAAGCAGUUUUAUGCAAUAAGGUUAUAUCUAUUAGGGUCAAUAAAAAUAAUUUGUUACAAAUUUACCAAAAAAAUAAUUGGCAAUAAGGCCCACGUAAACAUUUUAAGGGUUAUAAGUUCCAUCAAGGUUAGGAACUAAUCAACUAAUAGCUUCCAUCAAAUGUUAAUAACUAAUAGCAAAUCAAAGUCAGAAAAUAGUCACACUAGAUUUAGUAUGGAAUUUUUUCAUUUCCUAUAUUUAAUAUCAAGUCCCUGCUUUUAAAUUGUCUUAGAAAUUAGAAUAUGCAGUAUCCAUAUUUUUCCAUGGUUUCAAACUAGGAAACAUCCACAUUAGAGAGAGGGGCUUACUUUAGGAAGAUACUCCGAGACAAUCAUCAUGGGUAUAUUUUGGGUAACAGCUCCAACAAACUGAACCACAUUAGGAUGCCUGACCUUCUCUAAUAAGGUUAACUCAUGUUUGAAAGCAUUUCUGUUGCACAAACAAAGAAGAGGAAGAAGAAGAAAAUGGAGAGGAGAAGAGAGAAAGAGGAAGAGAAGGAUGAAAUUAGAAGCAAUUUUAAAGCCAUGAAUAGUAAAUUCCAGAAUUCCUUGGAAGAGAAAAAUCCAAGUAAGCGCAUACAAACACUAGCAACAAAAGUUCCAAAAUAUAAAAAUUAUUACAAAAUAAAUUUAUUAUUUUUUCAAAUUUUACUCAAACAAAAUAAAUUGGACAUAGAAAACCAAAAAAUCAAAUUGGUCAUAACUACGGUCAUGUCAUAUAUGUUGUACAGUAGUGAGUAUUGGACAUCUAAGAUAAGAUGAAUACAUAAGAUGUGUUUGUAGAAAAUGUGAAUGUUAAGAUAGAUGCUGGUACUACUGUAAUGAACAAAAUUAGGAAUGAUAAGGAAAGUGGUGUCCUAAAAGAACACGGAGAGAAGUAAUAACAACAAAUUUACAAUGUUUAGAUAUGAAUGGUGAAACAAGAUUCAUAUAGCCGGUCCCAAUUAGUCUGGAGUUCAGAUUUAUUGUUGUUUUUGUAGUCAAAUGACCUUGGAUAGAUAAUUUUCCUUGCUGCAAAGGAAUAAUAUGUGUACUGAAAUCUAAAUAGGACAUUAAUAAACCAAUAUCUUUAAUUCUAACAUCAGAAACGAGAGAAUACUUGCAUGAUUCUUUAAAACAAAUAAAAAAGGAAAGGAAAGGAAAGGAAUGUGAGCACAUACAUGCUCUCAGGGUCUGAAUAGGUAUCCUUGUGUAGUAUCUUUACGCUAACCUUGGUGCCAUUCCAUUUGGCCACUUGAUGUGAUCCCUGCUAUAGAAAAUAUCUAUUAAUAAUGCAGAUAAGACAUCAGAUGAAGCAUAACAAAAUCAGUUCCCUGCUGCAUAAAAUAUCCACAAAGAAUAUCAAAGUUAAGUACUUAAGCUAUAAUUAUCCAGAAGGACAGAGACAAUGGGAUAUUAAUUAGCAUUCCCAUUUGCUACACUAAAAAACCCAUCAUUUUAAAGAAAACUUAAAGCCCAGUCCUUUUAAGAAACAACUAAAUCCCUUUCAACAUGAAAAAUAUCCUACAAGAAAUAACAUUGUCAAACGCCUAAGAAAAGGAGAGAAAAUAAUAGGUGAUUUGGAAAAGGCGAGUGGCAUAACAAUGAGUUCAUUGUAAAUAGCUUAAUCCCUGAAGUCCAUGAAUCGUGUCAGUGGGAUCGAGGAAAGACGACCCUUAUCUGUCACUAUAUGUGCUGAAGACAAUAAUGCAUACCCACUUAAAUGGCCAGGUAAAGCAUCUUGCCUCCUGGAACUUCUUGCCAAGUACCAACAAAACCAGUUCCAAAAUAACGAAGGAUGAAUAAUUAAAAUUAUCGUGAACAACAGGGACAGGAAUGCAUUAGAAACCAGCAAAUCAUAGUUAAGAUUUAAACUUGCUCUCAAAACUUCCCCCAAACACGCAUAGUUUACAUAAAGGGAAUAGAACCAUACUUUUGAGAUCCCGUCACACUUUCGAACCUGCAGCUCUGAUGGAUUAAGCUCAUACUCUGGGACUUCUCGAGGAUUCGCAACAGUCAUUGGGGUCUUCCUGGUUUUCUAAAAUAAUAACAGAAACAUAAACAAAAAUUGUCGUACCUUCAAUAUAAUAAUAGCAAGCUCAAGAACGGAAAUGGAAAAAAAAAAAAGAAGAUAUUCUACCGGCGCUUUGGCUCCUCGAGCCUUCAAAAAAUUGUACACUUCUACAUUUCCGUAAUAUUUAGCAUCAGCACAUGCCUGUCCAAACGAAGAUCAUUUCAAUGGAAUCAUAUAUCAAGAUAUUCUCCAAUGUCUCCAAUUACCCGACAUUCAAUUCCAAUAAUUAAUAACCAAAAUUAGAUUCUCGUUGCAAUCCAAACGAGAAAUGGAAUCAUAUUGUUCAGGGUUUUUCAUUUCCUUAUUUCAUGAAAAAAAAAUGUAGAACAUUACCGUACUCCCCCAGCGAUCACGAGCAUCAAUAUUAGCCCUCUUACUCAACAAAAGCUUGACAACCUCCAAGUGUCCCUCACAAGCAGCAAUAUGCAACGCAGUCCUCCCAUCCAAAUCAAUGCUAUUAACAUCAAUUCCUUCAUUCAACAAAUCCUCAACGCCAUGCACAUCUCCUCUGCACGCCAGAAACAGCAGUUGCAUUGUAGUGUCGAGAUUCUCCGGAACCGCAAACUGCUCAUCAUCAAUAGGACUCCUCCGAAUAGGAUCCAGCGAAGACUGCCUCCCAAAGCUAAAUCUCAAAUUUCUCUUCCUGGGAUCGAGAGAAGUUUGCCUAGAAAGCUGCCUACUUAAGGUCCUCCGAAAUGACCCCGUCGACAACUGGCGGGAGAUUCCUCUCCUCAACUGCGUUGUUAUUCCUUCCAUUAAUUUGAAUUUUCCUCCGGAAUUUGGUUAUUCUUAUAAUAUUCCUCGAUCUUUCGAUUCAAGAAAAAGAAAAACAAACAGGAAAUUUAUUUAUCUUUGUUGUUAUUAUUAAUUAUCGGAGAAAUCUUGUUAAGUACAUAGCAGAAGAACGUCUCCUUCCUAAGGUGAUUGUUUGCUCGAUGGAUCGAGAGCGUCUCUGGAGGAGAAAUGAGCUCUCGAUGCGAGCGAUGGAAGGAGAGAGAGUGAGAAAGAGGAAGGAAAGGAAAGGAAAGGAAAAGAAAGGAAAGUUUUGUCUGGGGUCUAAGAAUCGAUGAAUGGAAUGGGUUCUGAGAUCCGAGCGAGGCGCAAGGGAAGGAGAAGAGGGAGAGCCGUUAAAUUUUUAAAUUAAAAUUACUAUUUAAUUUCAAUGAAAAAAUUCACAAGUUAUUUUGAUUUUAAAAAAUAUAUUAAAAUUUUAUAAAAUUUAUUAAUUUUAGUAGUUAAAUAUUAAAAAAAUUAAAAAUAAUAUUAAAAAAAUUAAAUGAUAGAUUUUUAUAAAAUUAAUAAAUUAAUUAGUAGAUUUUUUAAAAAUUAAAAAUUAUUAUUAAUUUUUUUAAAAUUAUAAAAAUUAAAUAAUAAAAUACUUAACAUUAAAAUUAAAAUAAAUUAAUUAAUAAAUUUUAAAAAUGUUAAAAAGAUUUUUAAUAUACUUUUUAAAAAAUUUAUAGAUUAAUUAAUUAAUUUUUUAUAAAAUAAAAAUUAAAUAAUAAAUUUUUUAUUUUUAAAUCAUUGGAACUCAGAAAAAAAAAUCAUUGAAAAGGUAGAUCCGGGUUUAUUCUGAUCUGGAAGUGGAAAAAGCGGGCGGCGGUUUCUUACUUGACAGUUGAUCAGUUUGACUUUGAGAUUUUGGCUUUUGAUCGUUUCCAAAACAAUUGAUCAUUGACCAUGAACAAGGGGUCACGGACCGAUGCCAAAAUUCUUCAAGUACGUUAAAGCGCAUGUUAUUAAAUUUAAAGUGAUUCUCUACAAAAAUAAAUAAAGAGUACACUACAAUUUAUUCUCUUUAAUUUAAUAAAAUAUAACUUUUCAUCUCUCUAUUUUAAAAAAUCAUCAAUUUAGUCGUUGUGAUUUUUAAAAAUUAUGCCAUUGAUCAUUUUCGUUAAAUUUUUAAUUAAAUCACCGUUAAUCUUAAUUAAAAGACUAACUGAUUCAAUAGAGGAGUACGACACAAGUAGCAACAUUCCGACUAUUCAAGAGUAUAAGAAGCUUUAGAGCUAGGAAAAUCCAGCUCCUGGGUCAUGGGACUUAUAGCUUGGCAGUCCAUUGGGUGAAUUUUUUUUUUUCCUUUCAGUUUCGAGUGUCUUCUUGGAUAGUUAUAGCUGCACAUAGGCACAAGAUGUAUCUUGUGGAAGGAGGGGGGCAGCAGUCCCCUGAACAUAAUCCUUUCAGGUUUGAUGGUCGGUGCAGGUGAAUCGGAGAAAGCUGCUUUGACUAUUAGAGCUACGACUGCAGCCUUUCCAACAUCUUGUUCCCUUAUAAAAGAAGGGAAAUGGGCAUUCAAAGAGCCACCAAGCAGCAGAUCUGUAACAAGUUUCGCUAGAAGAAGCAGUGGGUUUUGCGGCAGCAGUGGAAAGAGCUUUAGCAAGAAUUGCAGGUACAGAAACUGGAGCUGCUACACUAGUUUUUUUCGGGAGACCCAUAAGAGUGCUACAAAAGCAUGUAAGAGCACCAACAACUUCUAUCGCAUAAGUUACUACUUCUUUCGUUGAAACUCCAGAAUUUAUAAAUUGAAGAUUAACGGUGACUUAACUGAAAAUCUAAUGGAAGGACUAAUGGCAUAGUUUUAAAAUUUACAGUGAUUAAAUUGAUAAUUUUUUAAAAUAGAGGGACAAAAUAUUAUAUUUCACUAAAUUAGAGGGACUAAAUUACAGUUUAUCCAUAAAUAAAUGAAAGGUAAUGUCGGCUCAAAAAUAAUUAUAAUUUUAUGAAUUUAAAUUUAUUAUAAUUAUAAUAAUUUUAUAAAUUAGAAGAAAAAAUAUAUUUUACAGCCCCGGGAGGAAGAGGACAAUCAAUGGCCCAGGCGAGGAAGAGAUUCUGGGCAAGGUAAACCACUUGUCGGCAGAAACUGAGGACUAGUUCUUCGAGGAAGAAGACUUGAGAAAAGAAAGAAAAUUAGAGAUUUUUUUAAGUGUUGAUGAGAAGAAUUAACUUAGUCCAGUUUAUUUGCAAAAAAAAUUAUUUAUAUUUGAAAAAUAUUUUCAUAUAAAAUAUUUUUUAUAAAAAAUAUUUUUUUAAUAUUUAUUAUUUAAUUUUAAUUUAAAAAUAAAAUAUGAAUAAACUUAUAUAUAAUAAGAUUAUCAAGGUAUAGAAUUUUUUUUAACAAAAAAUUUCUUUUAUUAAUUUUCAUGAGUAUCUAAAUUAUAAAAAAAUAUUUUUUAAAACAAAUAAAAUUUUAAUAUUUUUAUUAUAAUUUUUUUCUUUUAGUAUCACAGCUAAAUAUAUGAUAAAUUUAAUAAAAUAAUUUAUUUAUUAACAUAUAAUUAAUAGAAAAAAAUUACUUUUUAGUCACUGAGAUUUAACGUAAUUAACACUUUUUAUCCCUCUAUUUGGCGACCCAACACUUAAGUCCCUCACUUUCUCUUUUGUCCAAAUUUAUAGUCCUUCCGUCUAAAAUAGUCGUUUGAGACACGUGAAUUGAUAAAAUUGGCUCUCACUAAAAGUCUCGCUAUUUUAAAAUCACGAAACCCAAACCCAAUGCCUCUUUACUGUAGAUUUUUUUUCUUUUUCUUCUGUAGAUUUUUUUUUUUUCUUCUUCUUCAUCAUAACUCCUACCGUCUCUGCAACUCUCAAAUAUUACUUCAGGGANNNNNNNNAAAAAAAAAAAAGGAAAGUCAAUAAUGUCAAAAAGAAAUAGAGAAAAUAUAAAGGAGAAAAAAUGAAAAAGAAAAAAAAAUCAACAAUGUCAAAAGAAAAUAGAGAAAAUAUGUGGGAGAAAAAAGAUGAGAGAGAGAAAAAAAAAGGAGAAUUAACAAUAGAUAAAAGGAAAUGGAGAAGAUAUGAAAGAGAAAAAGAUAGGAAUUUCGUAUUGAGAAGAUGGUAUUUUUGGAAAAAAUUAUCACCUCUCAUCUUUGACUCUUUGAUCAAACGGUUAUUUUGGAUGGAAGGACUACGAAUUUGAACGGAAGAGAAAGUGAGGGAUUUAAGUGUUGGAUCGUCAAAAUAGAGAGACAAAAAUGUUAAUUAUGUUAAAUCUCAUAGAUUAAAAAAUAAUUUUUCCUAAUUAAUAGGCCAUGUCUCAUACCGGUAACAUCAAGAAAUGAUAUAGAUUUAUAUAACUGGUUGAAAGAGUAUUAGAUAAUUUAGGUGAAUUAUUUUGGAUAAAUAGAAAAUAGAUUUAAAAAUUAUGUAAAUAAAAAGGAAGUGUGAUUAGUCUUCCGUUUAAAUUUAAAAAAUUAAUUAAAUUAAAUAAAUUUAAAAUUUUAAUUUGAUUUUAAUUUUAAAAUUUUUAGAGAUUUCAAUUUAAUUUGAUUUUAAUUAAAAAAAAUAAAAUAAAAAUUGAAUCGAUUAAUUAGUAAUACUAUAUCGAUUUGAUAAUAUAUAAAUCCUUAUUAAGAUUCAAAUAUUUUAAUUAAACUUUAAAAUACUAAAAAUAAUGUGUAAAAUAAAAAGCCAACUAAAAGAUAUUUGUGAUAAAAAAUAUUAAUUAUACUGAGAAAUAUGCACCGAAAAGUUAAAUCAAACUAUUUUUGAUAUUUCAAAUAUCUGUAUAGUUUUAAUAUAUUUUUAGAUAAUAUUAUUGACUUUCAAAUUAAUUAAUUAAUUAUAUAAUAAAAUAAAACUAAAAGUAAAAUUAAGUAGGAUUUAAUUACAUAUAAAUUGAAAUUGACAUAAAAUUAUUGUUUAAAAGAAUUAUGAUUUUAAUUUAAUUAAUUAAAUAAAAAUUUAAUUAAAAUUAUCUAAAAUUUAUAUAGUAUGUUGGUUAAUAUUUUGAACUAUAAUUAUAAUUUAUUUAUUUAAUUAAUUAAAUAAAUAAAUAAAUAUUGUUACACUGAAACUUUAGAUUUCAAUAUAAAAAAAUAUUUUAGGAGAGUUAAUUUGAAAAAGCUUUUUGAAAGUUUUCAGAAUUAGAAGAUGUAGAAAAUUAACACUUAAAAUCUUUUUAAACCCUUAUAUUGUAAGUUUUUUCUAUGGUAAUUGUAUAUACAAUUUCAUAAAUAUAUUUUAUGAAAAAUGAAUUUUUAAUUAGUAUUAAUUAAUUAAAUCAAGUUAGUAAAAUUCAUAUACUCUAAUGCUUCAUAUUAAUUGUUUCUGUGUAUAGUUACACUUUGUAGAAUUAAUUUAGUUUUAUUUUUAUUUUUAUUUGCUUAUAUUUACAUUUAAAAUUACUUUUUAAUUAAAUAAUAAUUAAAUUAUAAAUAUUUUGAGGCUUAAUAUUUGAUUAUUAUGAAUGUGAUACUCUUCUUAUGACUAUUACUUGUAAUGAUUUUGUAAAGUUGUGAAUUUCACUCAUCACUUAGUUUAAAGUACCUUUUUAUUUUUUAAAUUUUAGAAUAUUUUUAUUUUACUUGAAAAUAUGUUAAUUUCUUUUUUAAUAUAAAUUUUAUUAAUAAAAUAAAAACUUUUAAAAAAAUUACUAUAUAGUCUUUUUAUUGUAUAGAAACUCACCAGUUAGUCUCUAGAUUUUAAAUUACAUUAAAACUCCUAAAGUUUUAAAAAAAUCUAAUAAUUAGUCCCUUAGUUAAUUUUAGCAGUUAAAUAUUAUGAAAAGCUUAUAAUAUCCUCAAUAUAAAAGAAUUACAUACUCUUUUCAUAUAAUAAUUUUUGUCUAUUUUUUCUUUUUUUAAAUGCCUCAAAAUUAUUAUUCAUUUUUCUUUUUUACUCUAUAAUAAUAUAUAAAUUGCCUAUUAUAACCUUAUUUAAUUUUACUUUAUUUUUAAAUAAUCUCUCAAAACAUCUUUUAUUAUUUAAUAAAAUUUAAUAUUUUUAAGAGGUAUAUAAUUGAAAAGUUUAAAAAAAAUUAUCUUUAUUAAAAUGUAUGAAAAAACAAAAUAGACAAAAAUUAUGAGACGGAUAGAUAUUUUUACAAGACUGAUAGAUCAAUAAAUAGUGAGUUUUUUCAUAUUAAAUAGUAAAACACUUAGCGAUUAAAACUAAUAGAAUGACUAAUUAGUAAAUUUUUAAAAAUCUUAGAGAUAUUUUAAUGUAUUUUUUAAAAUUGAACGUUGAACUAAAAAGUUCUGUUAUAAUAUAGAGACUAAAUAAAAAAAACUUUAAAAACUUAACAUAGUAGGUAUUUUCUAAAACUAUGGCUAAUAGAUUAUUCUAUACACUCAACCUAAGAUCUAAUUUGACAAGGACUUUUAUCACAGUCAGUUUGGUUAGAUAUCGUUAAGAAUUUUAAAAUUAUGUCUAGUUGAUGGGCUAAAACUGAUUAAUUUUAAUCAAUAUCGUUUGGUUAUACGAUAUAAUAAAAAUAAUAGACAAAUAAGUAUCAAAUAGUCAAGAAUGUAUAUUUAUAAUAAAAAAAAUUUAAUAUGUAAAAUUAUAAAAAUAUUUUAAAAAAUAAUUAAAAUAUAAAAUUGACUCUAUAAACGGUGGAAUUUUCGCUCAAACUUUGUGAUAUGCCUGCGGUCCUUGCCACACUUUUAAAUGUUAUGCGUCUCGAAAUUAUUUUUCCAAAAAAUUAUCGUGGGUCUUUAUCAGAUGUCGAUGGUAUAAAUUAAAUUUAAUUCAAGUCUAUUUUAAAAUUUAAAAUUAAUCGUUCCGUAUCCCGCUGUGUUUGAUUGUAUUUAAAAUUUAUAUUUUAUAAGAGUUAUAUUUAAAUUAAAAUUUGACGGAGAUUUCAGAUAAGAAAUUUAAGUUUUGGCCCAUCGAGUAUUUGGGCUUUCAGGAUUAAUAAACCAUAGAAGAAUCUUUCAUGAACCUAGAAUUCUUGCCAUACUUGGAUCAUAUACUAAAUUAAAAAAGUCCUGAUGCAUCCUAGAUAACAGCACCAUAUGCUGACUUUUCCAAAUGAACUAAACAGAAGUGACCUUGCACUAACUUCUCUCAUGAGCUUUGAUGAGUUUGGAUCUUAGAGUAUUAAGUAGUUUGAUGAGUAAAAUCUUCAUGCUUAAAUCAACUAUGGGUUUGAAGAUGUGAUAAGUGAAAAUAGUUAAUGAUGAAAUAACAUGCGUAUCUUAAAAUUGCUCAUAUCCCUAACAAAAUCGACUGAACUAAAUAAUAUAUGAUAUCUAAAUUUAAUAUUAUAGAAUCUAAAUUUAAAACACUUUUAAAAUUUAUUUAUAUAGAAUUUAAAUUUGAAAUACUUUUAAAAUUGAUUUAUAAACAUAUCAUCUUUGUUAGCUAAAUGGAAGACCUUAAUCUCUUUUAACCCAUCAACUAGAGAAGUCUCUAUAAAGAAAUUUGCAUCUUGAAGUGUUCGAGAAUAAAGAAUGAGCAUUCGGCUGGUUCGGUUUAAAAUCAAAUUGAAUCGAAUAAAUUGAAAACUAAAAUUUUAGUAUUUGCAAAAACUAAAUCAAAUUGAUUUUAGAUAAAAAUUGAAUUAAACCGAACCGAUUUGAUUAAAUUCAAUUUGAUUUCAUUUAAUCGGUUGAAUUUUUAAUAUGCUUUUUAUUUUUUACACCUUAUUUUUAAUAUUCUAAAAUUUAAUUGAAAUAUUUCAAUUUUAAUUAUUAUAUAAUCUUUUUAUAUUAUAAAAAAAUAUUAUUAUUACGAAUCAGUUAGAUUUAAUUUUUUUAAUUAUUUUAUAAUUAAAAUUAAACUAAAUUAAAAUAAUUAAAAAUUUUAAAAUUAAAAAUCAAAUCAAACCAAAAUAAAUACAUUAUCCUAACUUAAAUUUUUAUAAUUAUAAGUUAUUUAUAAGAAUUUUAAACAAAUUAUAUCAUAAUUCAUUUAUUAUUUUUAUAUAAUAAUUUUUUAAUAAAAAAUAAGUUUUUAUUUAUUAUUUUUAUAUAAUGAUUUUUUAAUAAAAAUAAGUUUUUAAUAAUUUCUUAUAUAUUUACAUUUGAAUGUUCAAUAUAUAAUAAAAUUAAGAUAUACUGUUUCCAUUAUAAAUAUGUUUUUGUUUUGAUUUAACUAAAAUAUUUGUAAAAUUAAAACACAAAAAUCAAUAUUAUUUAACAUAUAUUUUGUUAAACGGUUUUGAAAUAUUAUAAAUUUUCAUUAAUUAACUCUUAUUAUUAACCUAACGCACUAAUUAAUAUUAAAAUAAAAUAGAAAUAACAUGUUAUUAAUUAAUUUGUAGCAACUCACCUUUUUCUUUACAUGCAUCCAAAUAAAUCUAUUAUCUCAAUUUUUAAUCUCAUUUAAAAAAAAAUUGAUAAAAAAUUAAUUAAAAAUAAAAUUUUAAUAUACAAAAUUAUAAAUAUAUCUAAAAAAAUAAUUAAAAUAUAAAAUUGAUCCAUAAAUAUUGAAAUUUUCAUAUUAAAUUUUAUGAUAAAUUUACGACUCUCGUCACACUUUUAAAAUUCGUAUACAUUUCGAAAUUCUCUUUUCAAAAGUUUAUCGUGAAUCUCUAUUAGACGUCGAUAAUAAAAGAUAGACUCGGUUCAAAUCUAACGUAAAAUUCAAGCUCUUUGUCAUUUUUAAAACUAAAUAUUAUUCUAAUAGGGAUUUACUCAAUACUCAACGUGCGAAAGAGUUUAAUGCAUACUAAUGACUAAGGAGUUGUUGUGUAAUGGAGAGGCUGCCAAAAUAUUCUCCCUGCAAAAGCAAAGCUUCUUGCAAGAGGUUGGGACGUGAAAACUGUCUGUUUUGUGGGGGCACCAAGGUUAUUAGCCAUGUUUGUUUUGCUUGUCCCUAAGCUAAAAAUUGCUGGCAUAUUGAGCAGGUGAGCUUCGACUUGGAUCAUGACUAACUUGCCGCUAUUUUCAUUGAGUUCAUGUCCAAAUGGCUUGCAGAAGGUGGCGUGUUGAGUAUUAUCAUGUGGCAGUUGGGUUUCUCCAGAAAUCGUAGGCUUUGGAAGUAAUUUCUAGUGCCCACCAUUGCUUGAAGGAUUGGUGCGACGCCAACGCUUUGAGGAUUAGUUCGAAUUCUCCUGCUCAUGAGCGAAUCAAGCACGCUCAAAUGUAAUCUAUGCAGCCAGGUUCUCAUUGGAGAAUAGAUCAGGCUUUGACACAGUUGUUCAUCACUCAUAAAGCAGCUAUUCAGUAAAUUUAAUUUAAAAUUAAAUCGAUUAAAAUAAAUUAAAAAUUAAAAUGUAGUAUUUAUAAAAAUUAAAUUAAAUUAUAUUAAUUUUCAAAAACAUUUAUAAUACUAAAAAUUAAAAAUUUUAAAAAUGAUAUUUUAAACGUUGCUGCAUUGCAAUUUUUAUUUUUAUUUUCUUCCUUUUGUUGGUAAGUAUCAGUUAACAUAAAAAAUUAUAUAUAGAAAAUAAUUAAAUCAAUUUAUUCACUUAUUUAAAAUUUAUUAUUAAUAUUUAAUAAUUUAUUAAUUUUUUUAUAAAAUUUUAUAUUAUUUUAAAAAAUAAAAAAUAAUUAAAUCAUAUUAUUAAAAAAUAAAAUAAAUAAUCUACUGAGAUGAAAGUAAAACUACUUAACAUAGUACUUACAUCAAUAAUGAAGGAAAUCCAUAAAUCUAAACAUACUCAAAUAUUCGACAUAAUAAGUAUUUGAUCGAUUUAGUUUAAAAUAAAAUUGAAUUGAAUAAAUUAAAAAUUAAAAUUUUAGUAUUUAUAAAAAUCAAACUAAAUUGAUUUUGAUAAGAAAUCAAAUCGAAUCGAAACGGCUUAAUUCAAUUCGAUUUUAUCGAUUUAAAUUUUUAAUAUUUUUUUUUAAAUUUUAUUUUUUUAUUUUAAAAUUUAAUUAAAAUAUUUAAAAUUUAAUAUGAUCUAACCUCUCAAUAUUAUUAUUAAAAAUAAUAUACUAUUAUUAUUAAUCAGAUCGAUUCGAUUUUUUUAAUUUUUUUAUUAAAUUCAAAUCGAAUCGAAAUAAUUAAAAAUUUUAAAAUUAAAAAUUAAAUCGAAUCAAAUCGAAAUGAAUAAAAAAUUAAAUUAAAAUUUUAAAUUAAUUUAAUUCAAUCAAUUUUUUUAAUUUAAAUUAAAUACAAAAUAAUCAUACUUUAGCCCGAUAAAAUUCUUACAAAGCAUGGGAUCAAAUAGAGUCAAAUCCUAGUAAGAACAAUAAUAUAUUCAUUUGGAAAAAAAAAAAAGAGCACACGUUUUUUCUUUGUCAUAAAUUAUGAGAGAGACAAUUAAAGAAGAGAAAUAGGGCUUGGCUUAGUAGGUGAGAAGAAAUGUAUUGUAAACGUGGAGUAUUGGCUGGUGAGCCUUUGCAAAGCUGUAAAGCCAAGUCACCAUUAUCAUAUAUGGGAAAAUUACUUUUAAACCUCAUAAAUAUAUUAAAAUUACUCUUAAUUUUAAACUUUAUAAUUUAAUUUUUAUAUUUUCAUUUCGUUAAAUUAAAAUUAAUACAUAUUUCUCUCAAUUUUUAAAUCUAAUAAUUUAUUUCUUAUAUUUUGAGUGCGGUAAUUCGAAAAUGCAUUCAUUAAAAAAAUAAUUUUUUUAAUUUGAUAAAAUUAAAAUAUAUUAAUCAAAUAAUUGAUUUUUAAAAAAUCUGGAAUGUAUGUUUUAAUUUUAAAUAAUAUAAUGAUUAUAUAAUAUCAUUAUUUUUAAAAAUAAAUAAAUUAAAUAGUUUUUUUUGAAAGGAAAUAAAUUAAAUAGUUAAUUCUAUUAAUUCCUUUUUAAUUAAAUGGAUACACUCACAAAUCACACGUCACCAAAUAGAGCUAUUAUACGAGAAACGGUCUCAUUUUGGCUUUCUGCAUCCCCUCCAUUUUCAGAGCUCAGUUUCCUCCUUCUCUGUUAUGGCGGCUGUAUCUCCAGCUUGUUCCACAAUGAUUCACUACCUAGAUCGCUCUCCUUCUCGUUCUCGUUCUUGUGCUUCGAACUCUUCUCUUCGUGUAUGCUUCUCAAGUACAAAACCUGCUUCUUUAACAUUCUCUAAACCCACCUCUGACCACUAUCAGCAUCCAAGGAAACUCACUGUCUCUGCUACAGCGGCUGAUAAUCGUAGCAACAUCUCUAACACUUCUUUGUCCGCUAAUGGCCCUGCUCCUUCUCUGCCCAUUUCAAAGUAUGUGAAGCUUUUUGAUUUUUACAUUUUGUCUCAAAUGUUUCUGAAAGAUUACUUUUGUGUUCAUUAAUCAAACGCGAAUUUCAAAAUGAAGACUGAUUAAAUCAAUUUUAGUCAUAAAAUCAGCUAAACCGAAGUUUUUUGUGAUACACAAAUUCCCAGUUAACUUUUUUUUUUUUUUUUAAAUGAGUUUUGUUGUCGGUCUGGUUAGUUUGAUGUGCUUUAUAACUUCAGGGUGAGGAGGCAUACAAUCUCUGUGUUUGUGGGGGAUGAAAGUGGGAUGAUUAAUCGGAUUGCUGGGGUCUUUGCGAGGAGGGGGUAUAACAUUGAGUCCCUUGCUGUUGGUUUAAACAAGGACAAGGCACUCUUCACCAUAGUUGUCUCUGGAACUGACAGGGUGCUACAACAAGUUGUAGAGCAACUUCAGAAAUUAGUCAAUGUUUUGAAGGUUUCAAUAUCAUCCUGAACUCUCGAUUCCAAAAUUUUGUCUUUUAAGUCAUGAAGGGAUUUUGUACUAUUUUAAGAGUUUUUUCUUCAUUAAUUUACAAUUUUCAGUAUUUACUAUUUAGAUUUCCUUUAAUUCUUUUGGACCAGUUGAAUCACGGAUUCUAAGAUUCUACUUUGAUGUGUAAAAAAUUGGGGAUUUUCAGUUGGUGCCUUAUUUUAGCCUUUGUGCUAGUCAAUUCCAUAUUCCCCAUUCUUACUUUUGAAUGUGAUACCUAGGUGGAGGAUCUCUCAAGUGAGCCACAGGUAGAACGUGAGCUAAUGCUAAUAAAAGUGAAUGCAGAUCCUAAAUACCGUGCUGAGGUAAUAAUGUGGUCAUUAAGCAUCAAUAUCCUUCAUGAGUUCAAAAUGAAUCGUGCACUAACUCUGGUUACGUAUUGUUUUCUUGACUUAAUCUUCAGAUCAUGUGGUUGGUGGACAUUUUCAGAGCAAAAAUUGUGGAUAUCUCAGAGCACUCUUUAACAAUUGAGGUGAAGAUAUUUUGAACUUUAAUCUGGUGGAUGAAAAAGUUAAGCAGAAAAAGAUUGAACCAUUAAGGUUUAAUGCCCUGCUUGAGUCAUUGAGACAAGUGAAAGGAAUUGGGAACUCCUUGUUUGCAGAAUUACAAACAUUUAAAAUGUAUAUGCAAACAAAUGAAUUUUGCUUAUAAAUAUACAAUGUACUUCUUAUGUACUACAGUAGUUUUAUCUUAAUUCAUGUGGUUUGGGCUAUGAAAGAGUAUACUUUUUGUUGUUUUCCAAUUUUUAUAUGCCUUAAAGAGUUUCAAUCAACAAUGCUAUGGAAAUUGCUAAUGUUUCUACAUAUACUUACGAAAAAACUUGAAUGCAUUUUCUUAUUAACUUCAUUCGUUCAAACUUUCUUAUGUCUCUUAUCAGUUUACAACUUGAUCCUGUUGGUAUGUAUUUGUUUGUUGCAGUUUCUAAAUUAAUAAGGAACUUAGUACAGUGCUCUGGGUUUAAUGGUUUGGAAUAAUAUAUAAUGGGAGCUUCCCCAUUUUCAUUCCUGUGUCCAUUAUUUUGUAGACUAUCAUGCUAGGAUCAAUUACUUAUUUAUUUCAUUGGCUGCACUUGCAUGAAGAUCCUUGGAGAAUAUAUUGUCCUGCUGAAGAAUCAACAAGGUUGGGGGAAUUUAGUAACUACAAAUAUAUGUGAAAUUAGCAUUCUUGAAUGUAUGGGGUGAUCAAGUUGCUAACAUUUGGGAUUUGGCUGACUUGGGACGAUAUAUGAGAAAUAGAUUCAUACUAUAUUCUUGUUAACUUCAGAAGAGACUAGUGUGUUUUUGUUGAUUGAAAUUCAAUUAUUUUGUCAAGUUCAAUUGUCUGUGUGAAAUGUACAAAAUUCCUAAAGAACAAGUUACAUAUUAUGUGUUUGGUUUAGGUAACUGGAGAUCCAGGGAAGAUCGUUGCCGUCCAGAGAAACCUAAGCAAGUUUGGAAUCAAAGAAAUUGCAAGAACUGGAAAGGUCGUGUUUUUGUUUUUCUUUUCAUUAGUUGUAGUCAUGUCGGUUUUUGCCCAAAUACAAGUUUGGUGCUAAUAUCCAUACCUAUUGGUUUUAAUAGAUUGCAUUGAGAAGGGAAAAAAUGGGUGAAUGUGCUCCCUUUUGGCGAUUUUCAGCUGCUUCAUAUCCUGAUCUUGGAGAAGCAAGGCUGGAUGAUGCUCUUUUGGGGACUAAAAGCAAAGCAGUCAUUGGUGAAGAUACAUCUGCAGGGGUAUGCACUUCUUUAAGCUAUCAACUCUUGUUUUCUUCUAGAAGAUUUUGUAUGUUCUUUUCACUUUUUUAUGAGCAUGAGCAACAUUGUGUUGGAUGUUAACAUUUAGUUUUUUCCACAUAAAUAGUGGCAAGUGUUUGACCAAGGGUUUUGAAUAUUUGAACUUGACUUUACAUCUUGCAUUUGCAUAAUAAACUUUGGAAUGGCAAUGCGUUCAGGGAGGGAAUGAUUUCAUUAUCUCAUCCUUGCAUUGUUAGGAAACUGGGGUGGGGACAUAAAAAAUUGGGCAGAUAGCAUGGGUAGGAAUCUCCAUUUUAUUUUAUUUUAUUUUUUUAUAAUUUUAUAAAUUAUUGAAAUCAUAUUUUAUAUGUUAUUAUUAAAUCCUUUAUGCAUUGGUAUUAUAUUUUAAAUAUCACUAGCUAAUAUUUAAUGAAGAAAGAAUAAUACUAAGUAAUAGAUGUUAAAUUGACCAAUAACACCUAUAAAUAAAUGGUAUAUCUUCAAAGAAAAACAAGUAUACAUAUUUAUGUGGGCUAAAGAUUUAAUGUGAAAAUAUACCUUAGCAAAAUCAUGAGCUGAGAUCUAGUGAGCCUUUGGAUGGGUGCCACCACUAUGUGGAUUUGAAUAUAGGAGUGGCUUGUUUGACCUCUAGGGUGUUCAAGAUGACCCUUAGGAGUGAGUAGCGCUAGUGACUACUUUUGGAGCUGAAAUGAUAUUUUCUGAAUGGGUUGGAAGUGAUUUAUAAGACAAGCACUGGUCAAGGAACCAAAUAGGGCUUCCCUACUCAACACUCUGAUACUUAAGCUAGUGGCAUGGUUUCAAGGUGAAUAAAUAAGAGAGAUGAAGUAAAUGCUGGGAGUCUAUGAGUCUCAAGAUAUUUUUGUACUUGGUAUCUUCUGAGGUUUAUGUAGAGUGUGUUUAUUUAUGGAAAACAAUUUUUUUUUUUAAAAUUUGCAAUUUCUAAGAAAGUUCUGGUUUUCAUCUCCUAUUAAAAAAUAGAAAAACAUAGACGUGUUCGCCUAUCAAUGACACAAAAAUUAUUAUCUAAUUCAAAACUUUCAUAAUUAAAAAUAAAUAAUUAAAACUUAUAUUUAAAAACUUAGUUAUUUUACUUUUAAAAUUUUUUACUUAUAUUUAAAAGCUUAGUUAUUUUACUUUUAAAAUUUUUUAUCAUGUAUUAUUCAUUUAUUUUAUAAUAAUAUAAUUAUUGAAUAAAUAUUUUUAAAUAACUAUUUAACUUUAGUUAUAAAAUGUUUUAGUAAAAGUUUUGUUAUAGAAUAUUUAUAAUGGAAAGUAGUUAGAAAAUACAACUUUUAUUAUAAAGGAAACAUAGUGGAAACAACUUAGAAGCUUUUUUCAAAUCUUAGCUAAAUUUUGUAAAACUAAAAAACUAGUUUCUAGUUCUUCAUGUGGAAAAUUGAUACAUAGGAAUAUGAAACUCUGUUUUUCAAUUUUUUAGAAAAUUAUUUUAUAAAACUACUCUAUUUUUCUAUAAGCGAAUAUGUCAUAAUAUCUCUUGUCCAAAAGAGAGCCGCUUGGUGUUUUGUCAUAGCAAGUGGAUAAGUUGAAGGCGUCAUUAGAUAGGGACAUGCAUUACACGAGACCUUUCUCUGCUAUAGACAUAAAUUGGUAGUUGUCCAUUUUAUACUCUAAAGAUGUCAGUGACGGGUAUCAAUUAACUAGGGAUCCAUGCCUCGUGGUUGUAGUUGUACUAAUUCCUUUGUCCGACAAGUAGUUCCUAGUUAUGUGCUCAAUUGGGUACUAAGUGCUCAAUUGGGUACUAAAUGCUCCAAGUCGGCUUCAGGAGACAAGGGCCGUAAGGCACUCUUGUAGUAGCCAUAGGACACUCAUUUGAAGGGCUUAAGGCACCUAGUGGAGUUGGCAAUGCUUCAUUUGGGUGGUUAUAGAUGCAUUGGGCUUGGACUAACCUUUCAAAGGCCCAAGUGGAGCUUUGCAAUCAUGGAUGACCUCUUACCCUUUGGUGUCGAGGCCAUGUUCAUAGACUUAAGUGUCUUAGGCACGUAGUGAGCUUAGGAGAGAUGCUUAUUCCCUCCUCGUAUCAAUAGGGCAACCUAAAUUUACCCAUCCAAAUUUCAAAUUGGAUUGGGGUGGUGUUGACAGAGCCCAAUUGGGUGGGAUGGAAAUAAUUGCAUUCUCUAAGCUGGUUUCAUUACCUUAUACUAAUUAUAUUUAAUAUCUUGUUAUGUAGUAAUUUGAAAUGAGUUUUAACGUGAUUUAACAAUUGCAUGGAUGUUUAUCUACCUUUUGGUCUAUAUGUUUAUUGGCUUAUUGUGCACUGUUCACCAUGGCAACCAAGGGUUUGCUAAUUAAUUAAGUUGUACAAUUAUAUCUUGUCAAAGAUAUAUUGUGUUUGUGGCAGAUGUUGUUUCCUUGUGCUAUUGUAAAUUUGUAAUGGGUUAUAUACUUUAUUUUUAUAUUUUAGUCAUGUUCAUUUAAGAACUUUAAUCUGAUGUACAUCCAAAUACAAAAAUUCAGUAUGAUCUCUGGUCUAUUUUAUGGUUAAAUGCACUUCCUACAUUCAUUCACAUAUUUGCUUCAUUGUUAUGAUUAUAUUAAUAAAUUAUGUGUUUUUUCUUCUCUGUCAAUCUAGGGGGACGUUUAUCCAGUGGAGCCAUCUGAUAGCUUUACAGUCACUCAAGUUCUUGAUGCUCAUUGGGGAGUUCUCAAUGAAGAUGAUGUAAGCUUAUUUCUAUAUAGAACUUCUGUUUGACAAAACUCUUCUUAUUUUAAGGCUUUUUAUUCCGAGUGGAAGGGACAGCGGGGCAGCCAGUGAUUUAAGGUUGGAGUUUGUGACGUAAUGUGAUGCUAAAUCCUAGAGAUAUUUUUUUUCUUUUUUUUUUUUGUGGUUGCAUAUUUAUGCCAACUGUUGGUGGGUUCAACUGCACAAACUUUUUUCUAUCUUUAUGAAAUUUUAAUCCAGUGGGACAUAGAUGGUGCUGGGGCAUUAGUGCUUACAUUUACAUUAGAUUAAUAUGUGGUAUGUAUUCACUUGGUUAAAUAUUCCAGACAACUGGACUUCGAUCUCACACUCUAUCCAUGCUGGUGAAUGACUCUCCUGGAGUUCUUAACGUAGUUACAGGAGUAUUUGCUCGAAGGGGUUAUAACAUUCAGGUGUGUUCAGAGCUUUUCAUCUUUCCUCUCUCUCUCUCUCUCUCUCUCUCUCUCAACUCCACCAAUAACAAUAUUAAAAAAAAGCUCAACCUGCUCUGUUAUUUUCACUUGCAUCAGAGUUUGGCUGUUGGCCAUGCAGAAACUGAGGGCCUCUCCCGAAUAACAACUGUCGUUCCUGGUACAGAUGAAUCAAUAAGCAAGUUGGUGCAGCAACUUUAUAAGCUAAUAGAACUUCAUGAGGUGGGAAAAACCCUAAGAAGAAUGAUUUAUCAUGGUAGACGUUAUAUAAUGUUGAUAGGAACUCAUUAACUCUGUUGCAUAUUCUAAUGGAUAUUAAAUUCUCUUGUUUUCAUUGUGUUGUCUGUGACUAAUGAAUGAAAAGCUUGUGAAAGAAAAAUCUUGUAUUAACAAUCAUAAUGCCAAAAGUUUUACUAUUCAAGCAGAAAACCUCAUCGAAAUACUCUUGAAAAUUUUUCCUGUUCUUGCUUUUCUGAAUCACAUUGUUCGAUCAAAUGGUUUAUUUUCUUCAGAUGUUAGGAAGCAUAUAAUGGUUUCAAAUUUCAAUACAAGGGUGUCUCUAUUUGUUAGUGUUUAUGUUGAAGCUGUCAAGUGUGUAACAUAUGGUUAAUCUUUCAGGUUAAGGAUCUUACUCACUUGCCAUUUGCUGAACGUGAAUUGAUGUUGAUAAAGAUUGCUGUGAAUGCUGCUGCUAGACGAGAUGUACUUGACAUCGCCAGCAUUUUUAGGGCAAGAGCAGUUGAUGUAUCUGACCACACAAUAACCCUUGAGGUGGGCAACCUUCACCUAUUUUUGUUUUUGAUGGUAGCUGAUAAGAUUCUUGGUGGUUACGAUGUUGUCUUAAAACUGGAUUGGUUUAUUGAUGGGUUUGAUGGGUCAAAAAUAAUUCAAAAAAUUUUUGAAGUCAAAUUUUAGUGAGUUUAAGGUGAAAAAGCUCAAAAUAAAAAAAUGAAUUGGACUGGACUGAACAGGUCAGUGGCCUGAGUUCUGGUUGAACUGGUCCAAUCUGGUUUUUUCAAAACACUGAUUUUGACUCCUCCAUUUGUUGCCUCCACUUCUUUUGAAUUGCCAUGGUUGUGGGAGGAUAUUUUCUUGUAUGUUUAAAUCCCAAUCUCAUUGCUUUCUUGGAUUAUUCUCUAUCCCAAGCUGAUUAAUUUGCUUUCAAUGCCUUCCAGCUUACAGGAGAUUUGGACAAGAUGGUUGCACUGCAGAGGUUGUUGGAACCUUAUGGCAUUUGUGAGGUUUGUUUCAUAAAUCUUAGAUCUUUCAUGGGGAAUUUCAAAGUAUUCUCAGAUGCUUGAUCUGUUGUUUUUGGCCUAGCCAAUCAUAAUCUCUUAGCAGCCGUGAUAAGUUUCACCAAGACCACUAAGUAACUUGGGACACUGUCCAGUUCUGGGCUGUGGCUUGGAAGUACUUGAGCUGCACCACUGGGUCCCAGUUUCCAACGUGUCUGUUGGUGCUAAUCUGAGCUGGAGGCUAUUAUUGGUUCCAGUUCUUAUUUUGGUUUAGGAUUAGGGCUAAUUAGGUUUCAUAUCAGCUCAAACUACAUGCUGGAAAAAAAAAGAGUUGUAUUAUUUAAGCUUAAGAAAAAAUUAAAUUGUAUCAUCUUAAAUAACAUUCUUUUAACACAAAGAUAAUGUAUUUGAAGAAUGUAUAAUUAUUCAUUAAAAUAUAAUGCACAAAAAUUAGGCUUUUUAAGAAAGGGUUAAAAUCCAAUUGUGCCGCAAACUUAUAUAAAUAUAUAUAAAAAAAAAAAAAAGCAAUGGUUGUAUGAUGGUUGCUUAGUUGCUCCUCCAGCUCUCGACUCUCUACACCAUGCGCUGUGUGUUAAAUUUUUGAAGUAUGCUAUGAUAUUAUAAUACUAUGAUAUUGCUUCUCUCUCUCUCUCUCUUUUUUUUUUGAAAGUCAUUAUCAUUCUAUUUAAGUAAUAUAUUUAUUGAUUAUAUACCAUAUUUGUCUAAAAGAAAAGAAAUAUUAGUAUGUCAGUUAGGUCCUGUUCUUGGUUAUUUAAUUUUUUUUUUUUUUUUUUAAUUUGAUUUGUGAGUCUCACUUUAUUUAGGCAUGUGCCUGCACAUUGUUUCUAGGCCUCAGGACCCUUUAAUGCCUUGUGUGCUUUGUGCUUUAAUAACUCUUAAUAGAUUUCUAGUGUGGGAUUCCCAAUAUUUUUUAAAUGGCUAAAUACAUUCUUAUACUAUAUACAAUUUGGGAUUAACGCAUGGAACUCUUGAAUAAAAUGGAGAUCUAUUGAAUGCUUGAACUUAUAAAAUUAUAAUAAUUAAACACAAAUUAAUUAUAUUAUCAAUUCUUGGUUUAAUGAAAAAUAUCUGAUCUGUAUUUUGUACUGUAUAUUGAAAUAAGUCUACAAUAUACAGGAUACCUAUUUAUAGAGUAUCUAGGACCUAUAGACUAAUAAAAAAUUCAGUUUCAACAAAGGAUUUAGAAACUGUCUUCUGUUUCUUGGUCUUCUAGCUAAUAAGGGAAUCUCCUAAGAAAAUAUAAAAUCCAGUAACAAAUUGCCUAGAAAAGAAACAAGUGGCUCAAUCUGCAUCACAAUAAGCUGAAAGAUUUGACAAGUUGGUUGUGGCAGAAAAAUAUAAUCCCUUAGUUGGAUAAGUCUUGAGAUAUCUUAAGACAAGACAGGCGGCAUGCCAAUGGGGCUUUUUAGGACUUGACAUAAACUUACUGAGAUAAUGAAUCGCAAAGCUAAUUUCAGGCCUAGUAAUAUUAAUGUAUAGCAAUUUGCCAACUAGUUGCAUAUAUUUAUUAGGCUCAUGAAGUAAAUCACCAGUAGAAGGAUCAAGAUUCAAACCUUUGGGUAGUGGAGUAGAAGCAUUCUUAGCAUGUAACAUUCCGGUAUCACUUAAAACGUCAGACAAACUUCCUCUGACUGAUAAGAGUACCAGAAGCAGAUCUGGCGAUUUCUAAUCCAAGAAAAUAUUUCAAAUGUCCAACAUCUUUAAUAGUAAAUUUGCAAUGUAAAGCACAUUUAGUCUAAUCAAUGACAAACAAAAUUGCUAGCUAUGAUCACAUCAUCUACAUAGAUAAGCAUAAUAGUAAAUGUACCAUUGUCAUCCCGUGUGAAAAGGCAAUUAUCAUGUAUUGAUUGAACAAAGCCCAAGGACUAGAGGAAGGACGUGAACUCCAAGUUCCAUUGCCGAGAAGCCUGUCUUAGACUAUAAAGUGACCGUUUUAAUAAGCAAACUUGUCCUGGACUAGCUUUAGAAUAACCUGCAGGAGGCUGCAUGUGUACUUUUUCUUCCAGGAAGAAGAAAACCAUGUAAAAAGGCAUUACUAAUGUCAAACUGAAAGAUAGGCCAAUUUUUAGAAGUAGUUAAGGCAAUAAAAAUUUGAAUGGUAACAACUUUGGCUACAGGAGAAAAACGAUCUUUAAAAUCUGAUCCCUCUACUUGAUUAUACCCCUUAGCCACUAAAUGGGUUUUAUAUCUGUCAACUUCCCCAUUGGGCUUAGUCUUAACCUUGUAUACCCAUUUGGAAUCAAUGGCCUUUUUAACUUUUGGAAGAUCGGUAAGUAUCUAGGUUCCAUUCUUUUCAAGAGCUAAAAGCUCAUGAUGCAUGGCUUCGACCCAAUUAGGAUUGCUUGAAGCUUGAGUGAAAGUGCAAGAUUCAUGAAUGUGAGAAAUUGUGUUAAGAUAAGUUUGAUGUGAAGAUGUAAAGUGAACAGAUAAAUCAAAGUUAGAAGUAGUGGAUAAAUGAUUCACAAUAAAGUCUUGCAUUCAAGAUGGUUUAUUGUGAAUUCUAGUGCUCUUUCUUAAAGGGAGAGUAGGAGAAAUGACCUGUUCCUGUGAAUGUGAUUGAGUAACACAAUCAGAUUGUGUUGGAGCCUGAAAAUUAGAGAAAGAACUUGAUGAUGCACAAUCAGAUUGUGUUGGAGCCUGAAAAUUAGAGAAAGAACUUGAUGCAUCAUCAGGCAAAUUGACAGGAAGGAUCAGAUUGUGUUGGAGCCUGAAAAUUAGAGAAAGAACUUGAUGCAUUAUCAUGCAAAUUGAUAGGAAGGAUUUGAAACAGAAGGCUCCUGAGAAGGAUGAUGUUGGAAAGGGAAAACAGAUUCAUGAAAAAGAAUAUCUCUACUGAUAAAGAUUUUUUUUGUGUCUAAGUUUUGUAAUCUAUAUCCCUUAUGAGUAGUGGAGUAUCCAAGGAGAAUACAUUUGGUAGAUCUAGGAUCAAAUUUAUCUUUUUGAGGGUUGUGAUUAAUGGCAAAGCAUAGGCAACCAAUGGUUCUUAGGUGAUCAUAAUUGGAUGGUUUAUGAAACAAGGCUUCAAAGGGAGUUAACCAACCUAAAGUUUUGACUGGUAUUCUGUUAAUGAUGUAGGUAGCGGCCAUUAUACACUCAGACCAAUAAGUUUUGGAAAUUGAGCUUGGAAUUAGAUGUCGUAACUAUGUUGAGAAGAUGCUUAUGUUUAAUUUCUGUUGUGCUGUUUUGUUAGGGUGUACAAAGGCAAGUAGUUUGAUGGACAAUGCCGUGCGAAGAAAACAAAGAAGCUCGCCUUUUAUUAAGAAAUUCUCCUCAAUUGUUGGAUCUUAUAUUUUUUAUUUUUGCUCCAAAUUGUGUAUUGACAUAUUGAAUGAUGUCAAAACAUAAUAUGUCUGAUCUUUAAACUAAGCAUAUAGGUCCAAGUUGCUCUAGUUUGUCAUCAAUAAUGGUUAAAAAAAAAAUCUAGCACCAGUGACAGAUUGAAUAGAAAAUGAUCUCUAUAAAUCCAUAUGCACCGGGAUUACCCUUGUGAAAGGGCAAUCUAGACAUUUUAGUUAGAGGACGUAAGGCACAUGUGUGAUUAGUGUCAAUAAACUGCUUAAAUACAGGUAUAUGGGAUAUUUUAUGACAAGAAAAGUGUCCUAAUCUAGCAUGAAGAAUAGAGAAAGGAAUUUUUAUUAUGAAAUUUGCAAAAAAUGUAGUUUCUUUAUACAUUUUUAAAACUCUGCAACUUUUAUAGUGAGAUUGAAGCAACUUUAUUACAAACAGAGUCAACAAAGGACUGAAUAUUGGAAAUAGAAAAACUAUUAUUGUCUAGAAUAUAUAAUCCACUUAUUAUUUGGUCAACAACUAUAAUGGACAUAUUCUUUUGGUCCUGAAAGAAGCAACAUGAUAAAUAAAACUGUACUGUCAAGUUGGUAUGUUUAAGCAAUUUAGACAAAGAUUCAUAUUAAAAUAAGGAACAAGGAGAACAUCAAUUAAUUUCAUAUGUGUGUGCAAAGCAACAUUUUCAAUGUGUGAGACCUGCGGAAGAGCCAUUUGGCAAAUGCACUGUUACUGGUGUAGAUGCAAAACAUAUAGAUAUCAUAUGAUGCUUAUAUGGUGUGACAUAAUCUAAUGCACCAGUAUCAAUGAUCCAUAUCUGUGUUCCGGUUACCAUAGCACAAGAAGCAAAAACUAAAGAAAUUUUAUGAUUGAAGGAGCUGAAGUUAUUACCAGAAUAAUUGGUUGGAUUGUAAGAGUAGGCUAAAUGCGAAUUAACUGUAUUUAUUAUAGCAACCGCUUUACCUUUGACCAGCCUUCUCAUUUCCUGCCGUAGUAGUUCGAGCUUUGUAUUAACUUCAUCUAUUUUGCUUAAUUCGGUGAUAACGAUCGAUUCAGCACCUGCCAGUGGUGUUUCUAGGAUUGAUUCUACAUUGUGAUCUUCAGCGUGUGAGAUGUGAACUGUGUACCUCGGUUUGAAUGCUCCUGGAUUGGUGAAUUGUUUGUUCUUGUUCUUAAACCAUUAUGGAUAGCCGAUCAAUUUGAAGCAUUCAGCUCGUGUAUGUCCAUCUAAAUUGUAGUAUUCACAGUGGCCCUUCCUCGCUUCAUAGUUCCUAUAAUCUCGCCUGUUGCCUUAAGAUCGAACAACUAAAGCAGCUACCUCAGUGUACUGUGAGGUUGGAUGGACUUCCUUUUGAGACUCUACAUAGCAUUACUUGACUACGAACUUGAUUAAAACUAUCAUUGAGCCCCAUCAGAAAUUGCAUCAGAUGAUCUGCAUUGUGGAUUUCUGCUUCUCUGAUCUGCAAUUGCAUGGAGAUAUCGGCACAAUGUUGGCCAAUUCGUCUCACAGCUGCUUCAAUUUGCCGUAAUAUGUCGUCACAGAGAGAUUAUCUUGGGAGAUCGACGCUAUUCUUCCCUUGAUUUUGAUAGAUCAUCGGUCUAUUGCUUUCGUCGUAUCGUUUUUCCUAAUUCGACUUAGAGAUCUCGAGCAGUGGUGGCAUAGAGGAAACUUUCGACAAUGUCCUUCGAAAUAGAAUUGAGGAUCCAUAAUGUCACCGUAUAGUUGCAUCGCCUCCAUCUGUCAUAAUCUUCAGAUCCGUCCUCAGGAGUUUCCCUUCCACAAACGCGAGUUUGUUCUUCGCACCGAGAGUGAUUUUCAUCGCUCAAUUCCAUUCUCUGUAAUUAAUUUUGUUUAAUUGAACAGAGACGAGAACCAUCGCCGGGUUAUCUGAAUUUUGCAGCGCCAAGGUAUCGUCCAUGAUUGUUUUGGAGAUCGUCGGAACCAAAUGGCUCUGUGACUGGCCCUGUGACCUAGCAGAGCUGCUCUCUGGCAUUUCUCAUUGUGAGGAAAUAUUUCGGGAGGGAGAAGAGAAGAAGCUAGGUAAAUGGCUGUGGUACCAUCUUGGUAAGUCUACAAUAUACAAGAUACCUAUUUAUAGAGUGUCUAGGACCUAUAGACUACUAAUCAAAUAUACUAGAACCUAUUAGAAUAUUCUUUAAUACACUAGAAUACUAUAUACUAACAUCAAUAAUUUGUUAGAAAAAAAAGUAAAAAGUAAUGCUGAUUGCACUUUAAGUUUGCUGAAUAUAUUUUAAAUUUUUAUAAAUUGCCAAAGUUAUGUGAGAGUAACUCUAUAAUUUUAUGAAAAUUUAGAGUACAUUCCACAAAACUUAGCGCACAGUAAGUAAUAAGUGGGACCAUUUUUUACCUUUUUAGUGAAAAAUUAUCAAUGAUGAGACUAAUUUGUGUUAAGUUGUUAUAAUUUUUUUUUCUUUUUUAAAUCUAGGUAUUAAAUAAAUUUUAAUUUUAGUUCAGGUGUCUUGUGGAUACAUGUCAAAUAAUACAAGAGUGUAAAUACAGAUUUCGCCUUUUUUAAAGUGGUAAGUGAUCAUACCAGAGUGCGAUUCUCUUGAUGGUUCAAGAGAAGGGACUAAGACUGGCCCUUUGUGCCAGAUUGGAAUUUUGAGCUCUGGUUUGUCCGGUUUGAUCCCAGUUCUUACCAUAGUCAGGUCUAACUGCAAUGAAUAAGUUGUAGAUGUUUUGUUUUUGAUAACCAAAACCAAUGCCAUAGAUUAUUGGGUAGCAUUUUUCACCUUCGUCCAACAAGAGCAAUGAGCAGCAAUUUUGCAUUGUUCUUAUCUGAGCGCUCUAUGCAUUUCUGGAACUACAUUAACAGUGAUUCAUUGCCUCUGAAAUUUUUAUGACGUUUCAAAUCUUCUUUAGGUGGCAAGAACAGGGCGAAUAGCACUGGUGCGAGAGUCAGGUGUGGAUUCCAAAUACCUCCGGGGCUAUUCUUUUCCUAUAUGAUGUGAUGAUGACAGGACUUGGUACGGCUUGUGUUGCACUGCUGAUGCAAUUUCUGAGAGGUUGCACAUACAAAAGACAAUGGCAAAGACAGACCAGGUAUAAUUAGAAGCAGUUUGUGAAUUUGGGUGGUGAGUCUCUGUUAUUAUUAGGUUUCAGUUUUGCCCUAUUUUUUUUGGCUUUCUUCUUCCUUCUCCUGCUCCUUUCAAAUUAUGUUAAUUCCUUUUUCUCAUUGAUGAUGAAUUUACAGAAGUUAGCUGGAGUUUGCAAACAUCUUUGUAAAAGAAUGUGUUUAUAGUAUUUUUUGUUUCAAACCAUUUGAAGAGCUGCAUCUAAAUCUGGCUCUUCCUUUUAGUUGAAAGCCUCAUCGAACCUUCACUUGUUCUUCAGCAGUUUCACCUUUUAUUGCAGAAAUUAUUAGGGAGAAAAAGAACAAAAUGGACAGACUACUAUCAGGUUCUUGUAUUUUUUUUUUUUUUAAAUAAUUACUUUGCUAUUGGAAUUCAUAACUCUAAUUAAAAUAUUUUUAUAUUCUAUACAAUCAAAACCUUUAGUUAUUAUAACAAAUAAAAUGUUAAAACUUGUAUUAGUCAUGGUGAAAUUGAUUAAAUAAUAUAGUUAAAAUUUAGAAAAGUUAAAUAAUAUGAAUAAUUAAAAUUAAAAAUAUUAUUUAUAAUUAAUGUUUUUAUAAUUUUUCAAAUUUGUAAUUAUUAUUUUAUUAAAAUAAGUGACAAUUAUUAUUUUCAUGAAUAAAAGAUUAUUAUAUUUUUUAUUUACAUAAUUAAUUAAUUAAUAAUAUAAAGUAUAUAUAGUUUUAUUUUUUUAAAUUUGGGUGAAGCUUAACACACUCAAAAUUAGUUUUAACUCGCAAAAGUUAGAUUAAGGGAGGAGUGUGGUUCAUAUGAGAGGUUGUAUUACCUUUUCUCAAAUUUAAUACGCUCCAUUCACUUCAAAACUUAAAUCGAUAUGAGAUUCAAUAUACUCCAAAAAUUAAAAAAUUAGUCCAAACGAAAAAGUGCUACAUAAAGCUAGAUCAAGAGGAGUGCCUAUGAUCAUAUAGGGGUUAUAUUACACCUUUCUCAAAGAAAGUGAAAUUCAGCGCAUUUCUCACAUGUAAAACUUUACUGAUAUUUAAUAUAUUUAUAAACGUAAUAUAUUUACACCUAGAAAGUAAAAUUCUAACACAUUCCUCACAUUUAAAACUUUAUUGAUAUAUAAUAUAUUUAUAAACGUAACAUAUUUACGAAAGUUUAAUAUCGAGGAACUUUAAUACCAUGUUAAAUAAAGAAACUUUUUAAUUUUGAAAAAGAGUGUUUAUAAUCUGUAUGAAUAACACAUUAUCUCUUUUCAGAAGUGGAUUCAACGAUUAAUUCAGUUUUAUUCAAUAACCGAUUAAAUAUUUUAAUUAAAUUCAAUUUCCUUUUUAAUUUCAGUUCAAUUCAGUUUAUAUUUUAAGGUUCAAUAAAAUUUGUGUUGGUUAAAAUUUCAAUUCAAGGGUUUGUGAAAGGUUCAGUAAAAAGAAAAGGACAAGGAUUUCCAAGUCCUAAAAAAUACAAUCUAACCUCUAAGCUUAAAGCUAAAUUAAAAAAUAAAUCCAACCGAACUAAUUUCUAAAUUUAUUUUUUUAUUUAAACUUAAUACUGUUCAUCCUCAAGCAUAUAAUUCUUGAGGAGCAUUUCACACACUGCACAAACACAACAUGCUGGUUACUUGCACCAGAAGCUGUUAAAAUGAAAGAUAUAUUAUAACACAUGCUUGUUCUGAAAUUUAUAGCCUUCAUUUAACAAAGUAACCAUAAUCAUGCAAUACAUCCUCAAAAGCUCAGCAACUUAUCCUGGGUUUAUUAGAAGUAUUACCCACGAAGUAAAUCAUUCAGAAGCAACUGCAACCACCUGUUUCCCAAUAUUCCGGCCAGCGAAGAGACCAAUUAGAGCUGAUGGGCCACUCUCAAUGCCUUGUGCUGUGUCUUCAACAUAAACAAUUUUCUCUUCUUUGAUUAAAGGCAAGACCAUUUCCAGAUAUUUUGAGUACAGGUGAGUAUAAUCAGCAACCAUGAAUCCUUCCAUACGAAUUCGUUUCAUGACAAGAAGCAUCAAGUUGUGCACACCUUCAGGCUGCUCAAGGUUGUAUUGUGAGAUCAUUCCACAAACAGAAAUCCGUCCAUGGACCCUCAUGUUGAGUAGCACUGCAUCAAGCAUCUUUCCUCCAACGUU
rnacentral:lncRNA from 1 species